UCUUCCCCAAUCUGUUUUUUUCCAUGAUCAGUUGUAUGUCACAAUGUCCAGAGUUACGUUUAGAAAAGGGUUAAAGAUACUAUUACUUUUCGACGAUGGUGAUGACAUUGAAACUACAUCCAAUGUCGUCUACAAAGAAGUUUUUCAGAAUGUUCGAUAAAUAUUGUACGUAGAUCGUAUUCCAUAUUGUAGACAUUUAAAAGUUCAACUUUAGUUUUCUAUGUUUUUUUCCAACAUUUUCUCCAUCAUUUUCACUACAUUUCUUCUGCACUAUCCACCUUCAAAAACUAUUCUUACAUUGCAACUAAUAUAGUUCUUUUUUUUGUCUCAGGCGAUAGCACGGGUCAGCGAACUAGUAUAUAUAUAAUUCAAGAACUAACUAACAUGAGAACCAACCUUAUCAUCCACUAACAAGGAUUCAGCUGAAGUUAAAGGCAAACUCCGUAUAGACUAGCCAACACAUGAAUUGUAGGCCUAUAUGUGGGUCAAGCCUGAUAUCCGAUGAAGAUCAAACUCUAAAGUUUCAAACCUUCACCGUCAAGUCGGGGUUUUGCAUAAUAUACUUACCAACAAUAAUAAAUUGGAGUGACUAGUAACCAACACUUACCGGUAGAAAAAUGUGAUUGCAAUAUUUAAAAAUAAAUAAAUCUAGUAGAAUCAAAAUACUAUUGUCUUGCAAAAAAAAAAAAAUAGUACUAUUAUCUUAGUUUGGUUACUCUCACCAGGUUUUUUUUUUGCCAUUAUCACAAGUAACGUAACAAAUUUGAGUAAAAAUAUAAAAAAUAAUACUAUCUCCAUCCCUAAUUAUAGUAGGACCUUUUUAAAAGAACAUUGGGAAUUAAGAUAGUAGAUAUUUGUAUUAAAUAUGUUUGUAAUUACUAUUGUUUUUACAAUUUUAUCCUUUAAGAGAGAGAGUUGGUUUAUGUUUUCAACAUGUUAUUUAUUGCUAAUUGAAGAAAAAGAUGUAUAAUAAAUAGGGGCAUGUAUGUAAAAAAAUAAUUAAUGUAGUUGGAAAUAACAAGGAAUUUUAUAAAAAAGGACAAAAAAAUUCUCAAAAGGAUCUUAUAAUUAGGGACGGAGGUGCUAAUAAUGUGACAAUUUAAACAUCCAAUUGCCUCAAUUAAGAAAAACCUCAAAUAGGUAUAGAUACAUGGACCCCAUACAUACAUUUGCUAUAGGGAACCCAAUUUGUGGAUCCCCGAGUCUUUCAUGUGGUAAAGAUGCAUGUGUACGGACAUGAAAUUUUAUAUUGAAAAAUUCAACAUAGUAAAUAUUAAAUGUUCUCUCAAAAAAAUAAAAUAUUAAACGUACCAAAAGAAAAAGUAAGAAUUACUCUUGUUCAAAAUAUAAGACUAAGCUGUGCUCCAUAUUACUCCAAAUAAUACUAAUUUAUUAACAUGAUUCAAUUAAAUUGUAAUUAAGAAAUUAAUUUGAAGGAUUUCGUUUGUUCCCCCAAGUAGAAAUCUGUUGACCAAAUACUUGGAUUCUGUUCCAGUCAAAAGACCACUAGCUAGCUAUAGUUGGAAAAAAUUACUGUUUCAAUUAAAAAUAACUAUUAAAGAAUGACUCGUCAGGUCAUACACACGUUAGAACUUAAUUAGAACUAAAAAAAUUGUACUAUACUUUCUUAAAGGUUCAACCUAUGAGGUCCAAAUCUAGGAUGUCCAAAUUUGAAGAUCUUGUAACACGCAGUGUUACUAGUUCUAAGAUUUCUGACCAAAUCCAUCUUCAUCUAAAUAUGUCCCAAUGAAAUGAUUACAGAACAUGGCACAAAACUCAUAAUUUAUGGAAUGUCUAAGCUUGGCUUAUUAAGCUAUUGUUCAAUAAUUUAAGGAAUGUUCAACUAUAGUAGAUGUAGUGGGACAAGGCCUCAACCUAGGCUUGGAUCCCGUAACAUAUACCGCAAUUACAGCACAAAUCUACUAAAUGAAAAUACUUCUAUAUCCGUUGGAAACUAGUUCUGAAUUUUUAGGUUAUAAAAAAAAGUUUUCGAUUAAUAGGUGUUAUAUAUGGAGGCUACAAAUUAAUUAUAUAACUACAUAUUUGAAUUGACGAUGAGUUUAAAGAAAUUACAACGGUGUGGUGAUUUUGUUUAAACUUAAAAAUAUAUUUCGUACUGAUCUGACUAGUGAAGACGGAUGAAGGUUACGGUAACGGUGAAGUGGCGACGAAGUCUUUGUGGUGGAACGGAGGGUGCCUGCCUGCAGGCACAUCAAACUUCAACAUCCAAGUCAGUGUAAGAAAUGAGGUUGAAUGGGUAAAAAGUGUGGAAAAAUAUAUCGUACCUUGAGGGUGACGCGAAGUCACCCUUAUAUAGAGGAAGGAGGUGCUAACUAUUUAUGUGAAAUACAGCGCCUCAUCAGAAAGCCGUUAAAGGACACACAUACGACAUAAGCUGUAUGGAGUCACGCUUCAUUUAGGUGGUGUGCAUCGAUACUAGCAUGUUCCUUUAGGUGAUGUGUGUCUUCUAAGUCAGGAUGAAUGGAUCACACAUUUAUAUCAUGCAUGAAUAUAUCCUACAAUUUUAAAACAUUUCAGUGACGAUUCCGUUUGAAUAGCAUAUACAUAUUUUGUCAGCUUAACAUAUGCAAUUUUCUAAACUUAUACGUUUACCAGUUAGUCUGCAGAGAAGCCAGUGAAUCAUUGAAAGAACCUAGCUACAACAAAGUUGAGUCUGCCAGAUAUUUAUAAUUAAAUCAUUGCACACUUUGGAGCUAACCCAUCCAAAAUAGUGUAAUUCAUAAAAUAGUGGUAUACUAUCUAUAUCUAUAUUCAAUAAUUAGUGAGUGCCACUGUCAGUGUAAACACUAAACAAUUGAAAAUAUCUGACAUUGUUGAUGAUGCACGUUUUCCGCCAAAUUCUUUGACAUAAACAAAACUCUAAUUUGACCAAAAUGCACCACAAUAAGGGAGCAAAACCCCACUUUUCACGCUUCAUUCGAUUCCACCUUUUAACUUAUCUACCUCUUCAUCAAAACUACUAGACAAGUAUAAAUUCCUACACAGUGAAAAUAAAACUUAAAAUCACCAUCAAUCUAAAUCUACAUAAGCAAAUCUUGAUCAUGAUAAAUGUGUAUAUAUAAGCUUGCAUGGGCUUUUUUAUAGAAAAAAAAUAACAACGUUAAAUUGUUUUUUAUAUAUUAUUAUAAGUUGUUUAUAUAAGCUAUAUUUAAGAAAUUAUGAAAAUUGUCGUAAGAUGUUAUCAUAAAUUCUCUCAAAACAGUCUUAUAAUACUUAAACCAAUAGAUAAACUCAAAUAAUUCAAUCCAAAUAGCCAUUGGUUCUUCAUACUCAAACAUAAUUUUAUACUUAAAUUUAUUAUUUAAUUCAUUUUUAUGUGAAUAUGCAUUCAAAUAUAGACUACUUUAAAUUCAAAUUAUUUUUAAUUAAUUAAUUUUACAAAAAACAUAAACAAUAUUAGAAGAAAUAAUUUAAUCAAUUGAGGGCAUAAGGAAUAUGAUUGACACAUGUUGAAUUCCAUUUUUUCUUGGUCCUGUUUGAAGUUUUAAGCUCCUCUAUGUUUAUCAAAAUAAACCAAAAAUGUCAUUUAUAGAGAUACACAUAAAAAUAGGUAGAGGAUCCUACGACUUAAUUGGUCAUGUCACUAUUAAUUACUUUAAUUUUUUUCCAAACUUUUUUAUGUCUUUCUGUUUAUAAAUUGAAGAAAAUUAAAAUAUACUAAAUGGAGAGGAUUACAGCCCUCUCUUUUGGAUUUUGUUUCCAAAGUUGCAUCAUAGAAUAGAAGAGCCAAUUCCAGUUUGCAUGCCUGCGUUAAAGGAUACGAAUGCAAAAAGAGAACUUUGACCACAGCUUGAGAUCAUACCAUAUCUUAUAUCACAUUAGUACAAUAAUACCACAAACAAGUAAACAUCUUAGGAAUAGUGAAUGACAUGUAAUAGAAAAUAUUAUUAAGAGGAGUGCUAGGCACAACCGCUCUAACACUCUCUCUUUGCUACUCUCUAAAUUAUUGGACCAUUUCAUCAAUUUUCAUUAAUCCUCUAACCGGCAACCGAUCCAUCUUGUUUAGUAUAUUUUAAUACUUUUUAUUAUUUUAAAUUGUCCUCUUUUGUGAAGAAAACCCAGACAUGCUAUUGUUGAUCAAAAAAUCACACACGCAUCACUUCAGAUUCCCAGUUUUUUUUUUUUUCACAGUCAAGGAAUACAUGAAUCCCCCAAACUCUUUGCCCAAAUAAAAGAACCUUUCGAACAACUACAAUAGCAAGAUGACUCAUUGACUCUAAUUAACAUGACAUAACUCCACAAUGACAGUAAGGUUCUUGCUUGUUCAAGUCUCAAACUUUAUCUCAAAUUAAAGGGCAAAAUAAAAACAAUCAGAAUAAUUUUUUUAGAAAAAAACUGAAUAAAAAUUAAAAUUCACAAGACUUUCUUUUCAUUCUACCUUAAAUCCAGAAGACAAUAUACACCCAUCAAAGAUUCCAAGUUUCUAUUUCACAGUGGCUGGGUUUCUUUUCUUUUCUUCUUACUCAGACCCUUAAAUUAAUCCUUUUUAUGAAGAACUGCAUCAAUUAAUUAUGGAGGCAAGCUCUAAAUUUAUGGAUUCAUGCUAAUAACAACCAUAAAUCAAAUAGAAUUAAAAUAACAACAUAAUCUCUUCGAUCUUGAUGACGAAAAUGACCUUGAACUUGUUGGGAUUAUAGAUUCUUAGAUCUAGCGAAGAUGAUCUUAAACCCUUGAACUGUAGAUCCUAAUCGCAAGUUUGGUGCUGGUGGGAUAAACAAAGAAGACAGUGGGAACAGGUAUUGGGUGAGAAAACCUUUCAGAUGGCAGAAGAGAGAGAACGCUAUUUUAGGCAAUGGCUUAGCCGGUUACCCGGUGAUGGAGUUUGCAAAGAGAGUGACGUGGGCCAAUAAAUAAGCAAGUGUCAAAAGGAGAGUGUUUGAGAGGUUGUCCAUAGCAUUACUCAUAUUAUUAAUUCAAGCUACAAUUUUUUCCCAUUUAAUUUGUAUGAGAGUAUUUUUAGAAUAACAACUUUCAAUAUAAUGAUUCGUAAAAAAAAACACUCAAUGUAAUGAAAUUAGUUAGGUUUUAUUUAUAUUUAGGACCAUCGGAUAAUUAUUAUUUUGAUUGUAGUAUAGAAGUUAUGACCAAGGAUGGUCAAUAAUUUUAUUUUUUAUUUUUAUUUUUAUUUUUAUAUAAGAUUGGAGUAGUAUAAAAGUUGUAACUGAGGAUGGUCAAUAUAAUAUUUUCUCGUGUUGUUUUAGUCCAUGCAUAUUUCUUAAGUUAAGAAAAUGGUUAGUUAAUCGUUAUAUUGAUUUUUAUAGUAAAACACACUAUUUGUUUUAAAAUAAGUGUCAUUUUUCUUCAAAGAUUAAAAUAUGGAAGCCACGGAUACAACAUAAGAACCAAUGAAAAUCAUCAGGAAAAAAACUGCCAAAAAAAGCAUCUUGAUGGCAUGACCACAGGAUAUUUUUAUUUUUUUGACAUCAGAAUCAUCCAAUAUGGUCCCCAAAAUAGUUAAACAUGUGAUCAUUAUUCCGGAUGCUCCUUUAAAGAACCAUUAUAUCCUUGCACUCAGAUAGUUUUGACAGAAUCGUGCUAUAUGCCGUUUGAAAAACUCAAGUGUCAUCUGACAAUUAAAAAACCAAACCAACUAAAAAUUAAGUCAUAAAAAACAAUAUUAAUGUUUCAAAAUACAACAUUAAUAUUUGAUCUAAUAUUAGUACAAUAUUAAUAUUUAAUAGACUUAUUUCUUAAUUGGUUUGGUUUUUUAACUUUCAGAUGGUACUUGAGUUUCUCAAGCAGCCUAUAGCACGCUUCCGUCAAAACAAUCUGAAUGCAAGUGCAGAUUGGUUCCUUAAAGGAGCAUCUGGAAUAAUGAUCGCCUGUUUAACUAUUUUGGGGAUUGUAUUGGAUGAUUCUGAUGUCAAAAAAAAUAUCUUGUGGUUAUGCAAUCAUGAUGCUUUUUCCGCAGAUCUUUUUCUGAUACCUUCCGUUCGUUCUUAUGUUGUAUCCAUGGCUUCCAUAAUUCAGUCGGACUUGGACUUCAAAUAUUUUUGCAUUGCCAUUGUGUUGUAUUUUUGGCCAUUUGUCUACGACUUAACCACCUGAUUUCAUAGACCAUUCUUGAUUUCAAAGGGACGUUAUCUCUAGAAAGGGCAUAUGGUUUUAAUAACAUUCUUAAUUUUAAAAGUACAAAAAAUAAAAGGGAAACAAGGGUUGGAAAUGCAUCAGGCAGAAAGAGAGAUAAGAGCGAAAGAAUUCUCGAUAACUCAAUAGAAUUCUUUGAUGUGUAGAAUGAACUACAUGAGCUCUCUAUUUAUAGGGAUAAUUCAACCCUAACUCAUGAGAAAAUUGGGGGACAAGUAUCACGUGUAUUAGAUUGAGGGCAAAUAUAUUUUACAUUUGAGUACCAAAAUAUUUUCGAUUGAGUACCAAAAAACACUAAAAUGAUUACAUUUAUUUUUACUAAUACAACGUUUUUAUUAAUUAAAAAAACAAAAUAUGAUAUGAACUAAAAAAAACUGAGAAUGCAUACGCAUACACAUUGUCAGGGCUGGCCUAAGGGGGAUGCCACUAAAGUAAGGGCUUUAGGCUCCGAUUUUUUUAGGCCUCGUAUUACUAUCAAUCUAAUUCGAUAUCGGUUAUUUUAAAUAUAUUGUGACAAAGUAGUGUGUAAUCAAAGUUUGUAAAAAUAAAAAAAUUAAUUUAUAUCUAUAUUAUUUCAAUAUUAUUUUGCUAUUUUAAGAUUUCUAACAAUUGGUAAAUAAUGUUUAUACUAAAUAUUAUUUUCAACGCACAAGCGCGCAUGUGCACACACACAUAUAUUAAAAAGGUCACACACUAACAUAGUUGAUUAUAGCGAAAGAGGAUAUAUAUACUAUCACAAUGUGACAAACCAAAGUUUUAUUUUUAGCUAACAAAAUACUCAUUUAUUUGGUGUCCGACACACAUCAUAUAGAAUUACUUUCCAUUGAAGGAACUUAUGACAUUCUUUUCUUAAUUUUGUCUUAUUCCAUCUAGACGCAUAUAAAAUGACUUUAUUUAAAUUUUGUUACAAUUAGCUUCAUAUUUGAGCACAAGUUCUUGACCUUCAACUCUGUUACGUUUAACUUGAUUUUUUAAGUAGGGUUAAUUAAAUUUUUAAUCCCUAUAAAUAUUUAUAAUUUUGUUUUUAGUCCCUACAAAAUAAAAUCACACUAUUUAGUCCCUAUAAAAUUUUUCAUCAGCACUUUUGGUCCCUGUAAAAAAUUUCCAUCAACAAUUUUGGUCCCUUCCUUAAAAAAAAACAAUUUUGGUCCCUAAAAUGCUUAAGGAAAAUGUCACAGGGACUAAAAAUUGUGAUUUUAUUUUGUAGGAACUAAAAACAAAACUGUGAAUAUUUAUAGGAACUAAAAACUUAAUUAACAUUUUAAGUAAACCAUGUUAAGUUUAUAUCAUUGUAGUUUAUAAUAAUAAUAAUAAUAAUAAUACUCUAAAUAUAGAAAAGUUAUUUUUUUGACAGAAUAUAUAGAAUAGUUUUGACUUACUGUUAUCACCAAAGCAUUAAAUAUAGCAUGGUCAAUAUUUUUAUAAGGGCAUCUUUCUCAAAUGAAUGUGAAAAAAGAUGACCUUACACUAGAAUAUAUUUAAUUUUCUCUUAAGGCUUUCAUGACAUUAGUAACUAUUCUAACAAUAUUGUUAUUUCUUUCUAAUUAACUAUAAUGACAUAAACUUAACAUGGUUAAAUGUCAAGAACUUCUGCUAAGAUAUGAAUGAAGCUAAUUGAAACAUGACCCAUAUGCAUUCGUAUUGUUGAACCACUUUUUACAUGCUAAAUCUGAGUAAUAAGAUGGAAGCCUAAUUUCCAAAUUCUACUGACAGGUUCCUCCAUUUCCAAUGAAGAAUCAAUUGAUGUGCCAAAUGAAGAAUCAAUUUGUGUGUCCAACAUGUUUUUAGACUUAGCCCCGAUGUUUGCAUCUCUUUCUUUCAUACCUCCCUCCAUCUUUUAGCAUGAAAAACAGCUUCCUCGAUUGUUUUAGACAUGUUUGAAUUGUUGAGUGAAAGUCUUUCAAUGACGAACCACGUCAAUGAAAUAACAUUUUUAUGUGGAAGAAGCAUGGUGUUAUCUUGCAAACACAUCAAAGAUCACAUUUUUUUCAUUAACUCUGAGCAUGAGUUGAUCUUGUUGGACAAUGGACAUCAAUCGGAGCUCUACCCAUGGUAAUAAAUGGUCCCCAAAAAUAAGAUGGACCUUUGAAUCUUCAUCCAUAUCAAGAACCACUAAAUCAGAUGGGAGGAUGAAUUUAUCCAUUUUAACUAAAACGUCCUCAACAAUUCCAUAAGGAAUUUUCUUGGAUCGGUCGGCUAGUUGAAGAUAUACGUUUGUUUGUAGGUUUUACACUUUCAACCCCUACUUUUUCAACAUGGAUAAAGGUAUGAAAAUUAUAUCAACUUUCAAAUCACAGUGUGUAUUUUUUUACUCACACUUAACCUUCACAACAACUUUUAGCUCAUGUAUUCACGAUUUUGAGGUCGACUAUCAUAAAUCCAAAAAUAUAGUCCCCAAUUUUCAAAAUUUUCAAAAAUAAUUCAAUCCCGAAAUUUUGAACUUAUUUUUUCCUGACGUGUCAUUCUGAAUAACGAACUGAUAUUUUUCAAGUGAUGUUUUCGGUGUAAUUUAAUUUAUAUAAGAAAUCGUAUUUGGCAUAUCAUUAAGAACAUUUGAUUUUAAUCGUAAUUUUUUAGAUAUUGUAAAAAAAGUGUAAGGUCGUAAUUUUUUUUUCUUCUGAAUAUGGAAAGUCAUACACUAAAGGUCUAAUUGUGAAGCGUUUUUACAGACGGUAUAUCAAAAUUAAAUAAAAAUACUGCAAAAGAAAUUGAAAAAAUGUGUAAUCUGCCUGAUAAACGAAUUUUGCUCAUUUCACCUUCAUUUUUGUGCAAAUGCUGUUGUGGAGUGAGCGGCAAUUAACCGGCGCUUGAGGUAAUUUGGUAUUUUUGUAAUGUGUGAAGAGCAAAAAUAAAACUAAGAUGAGCAGCUUUCCUAAUAAAUGGGUUGAAGCCCACAAAGUUGGCAACCCCAUAGUUAUGCUACUCACGUUUGAUAAUGAUUGCUAUUUAGGCAUCUGGUGAUUACUCACAGACAUCCACUGAACGGUAGUAACUGUUAUUCAACACUUUUUAGAUCGGCUAAGAUACUUUUUAAAUCAGUACACACGAUUUAAAAAUUGUUGUCGUACAAUAGUUAAUCACAGUUAGGCUUUCCUGGAUGUCUAAAGAGCAAUUGUCACAUUCAAUUGCAAUCUUACGAAGCUAGUGACCCUUAGGAAAUGUGCUGGCUCAUCUUAGCGGUACAAAAAAUGUUGGACUAUUUCUUAUCUCACUCUAUAGUUUCUUGCACUUUAUUCAACAAUCCUUUUUUUCCGAAUCUAAAAUAGGGCGUGCGAGAAGGUUGGAGGAUAAGAUAAUAAAUGACCAUAAAAUAUUUACAAAUUAUAAGGAAAAAAAAAAAUCAAUGAAGAAAUAUACUUAUAGUAUAUGUUGUCUAAUUAAUUUGUUAGGACUGUCUACUUAAUAAUCAAUUACUUUCUAUAACAAAAAAAUAAUCAAUUCCUUUCAUAAAUAUUGCUUUACUACCAUGAGUAAGUAAGUUCUGAUAGAGCUAAAAUUGGGAUCCGGAUUCAGUAACUUUUUGGUGGGAAAAGUCAUAUGACUUUGCUCAAUAUCCACCAUUGAAUUAAUCUUUUGGUUCAGAUUUUAACACAUGUUUCUACCUUUGCCGCCGUACGCCGCUCUGCUCCUCCCAUCUCGCCAUCUCCGUCGUUCUGUCGCGGUUGUUUAACUGGUAAAAAUCACAUCUUACUGAUAUUUAAAAAAUAACUCAUUUUCAUUCUAAUGAGAUACUGGAGAACAUAAUGUAAAAAUUUCCCUGUUCAUUCUUGUUGAAUCUCUUUGGUUCUUUGCUCAUGUACCGUUAAAUUCUGCAUAAUGUUGUUCAAUUCUCUCACUGUUAAAAUAGUAAACAAAAUAAGCAUAAGAAAGGAUUAGUUAAAAGAAAUAGAGAUGAAAUCAAAAUCAAUCACUGAAAAGGAAAAGGAAAAGAGCAGUUCUAAACACCUGCGACGACAGGUACCCAGUAAACAAUCGCGACAGGACGACAGCGAGAUGGGCGAGCGCGGCUGAUGAUCGUCCGUCAUAUCACAAUUUUAGAGUCUUUUUAGUUUAGUUUUUAGUCUAUUAUUAUUAUUUUAGUAUUUAAUUUAGAGUCAUUUUAAAUAAAUUGUCGUUUUUAAUUUAUCGGGUCAAGUAGUGUAUUAUUAAUAUUAUUAUUGGUCACUUAGUGGCUAGUAAAGAGAAUAAAAUAAAAGUAUGGUUUUAUGAAUUAAUGUGAUUGGUCAAAUUGAAAUUGUGGCCACGGUAGCAACAUGGGGGAGUGCUGGAAUUGAUAAGUAAAUUGUGCUUAUUGCCCAAGUUGUAUUUUGUUUGGUCCAAGAUGAAAAGAAAGAAAGAUUAGGAAACGUGAAAGAAGGGUUUGACAUGAAAGAUACAUAUAUAUAGCGCCUGCACAGACUUGCGGAGAGGAUCUUUUGGAUCACUGUUUUCGGCCACACACAAGAAGCCAUAUAUAGCUACAUCUACCAUUGUGGGUUUUAAGGUAUUCAAACAAGCCAUUAUGUAAACUUUUGAUAUUUUAAUAUACGAUUUUAGCUAUUUAUUCAAUAUUGUUGUUAUUCUUGCAUUUAAUGUUUUAUUGAGAUUUAAAAUGAUAUGGACACAUACUUUUGAAUCUAGAAAUAGAAUAACAAUUUAUCUUAAGUUAUCACUCUAGACAUGGAUGUUAAUAUUUGAUAAUCACUUUUAAUCUAGAACUUAAUGCUUUUGGGUAAUUUAAUCGGUUGAGAAAUCGUCGAUUAAGCUAUCCAAUCGACUUUGUGAUCGUUUAAAUGUUUGGGAAAUCAAUGUUUAAACGAUCCCUUAGAAAUAACGAUAUCAUUUGGACACGAAUGAUAUUGUUGAGUGAUUGUGAUAAUAUAGUUUAAAAAGUUAGAAUCCGUUAUUUGAUCGUGAGAUUGCAGUUGUUACGCUUGGUUGAGUGUCUCUGACCCCAAGCGAAAUAGCCCUAUCUCUUCUCUAUUUAUUUUAUGUCAAAUAGUUUAUAUAGGUUUACACAAAAACACAUUUUAAAUCCAUACACUUAAAACAAUAUUGAUUGUUGAUGGCUUGAAUAUCGCGCUAGUCCAUGUAAAGACGAUACACAAAAAUACUUACUUUUGAUUGAUAGAAAAAUACUACAUCAUCGGCGAACAGGGUGGAGACAUGUGGCGAGAUGGGCGGAGCAGAGCGGCAGCAUGCGGCGGAGGUUUGUCACAAGUCAGAAACCAAGCAUCUAAAAAGGAGUACUUAUUUUUGCUAUGAGAUGUAUUCUGUUUUUUCAAAUUACGCAUGGCCAAUGAUGAACUUUUGAGAAUGUUUAUAACCAAGUUAAUAGUGAUUAAUGAAUAAAAGAUGGAUGAUUGCACAAUAUAUCUCUCGAAAUUGUUCACAUUUCUAUAUAAAAAUAAAAAUAAAAUAAAAAAAAUAAAAAAAAAUUAUAAACCUAUCGGGAUCACGCACAAAAAAGUGGAUCGAUAGAAUAAUUUGAGGAUCUAAUGAGCAACCAUCUAUAAAAGAUGAUAGAAAGAGGAAACAAAAAAAAAGUGGUAGAAAGCACUCUUCCACAAAUUGAGUGUUAACUCGUAAACUCACCCGGCUUUACGUUUUUAGGUGGCAAAAACAUGUUAAUUCGGAGGUAAACUCGGUUUUUGAUGAAAUCGGAAAGUUUGACGAGUUUGACCGAGUUAACACGUGUUAAACUCAGUAAACUCGUGUAAACUCGUCCGAGUUUACCUUUUUAUAUUUUUUUUUUGUUAUUUUUUUUGUCUCAUUUUCUUUCAAAAUCCAAAUCUUUUUUCAGUCCCAAGAUGCUGAAAUAUUGCCUUUACGGUUAACAUAACUCGUUUUUUCCAUGCUUGUUAUGUAUAGAAGCUAUGCCAAUGCGUGACAAUAAUAUACAUUGAAUUUUAGGGAAUGCAUUCAGAAGCUUGUUAUUAUUGAUUGAUUUGAAAUCAUUCAAAUAUAUUACUUGCUCAAGUAUUUAAAUGAGAAAAUUGAACAAUUGAAGUUAAAGUUACAACUGAAGAUGAAACAGAGUUUAAAUGUACUGAUAAAUUUUAUUUUUUAUUGUUAGAGUUUAUUAUUUAAAUGUGGUUAAUUGAUUAUGUUUUGUUUAAAUAUUAGCUUACAUAUGCUAUAUAUAUAAAAUAAAUUUUAUAUAAUUUUAAUUUUAGGUAAACUCGUACGAGUUUAUGAUUCGAAUUUAUAUAGUUAAAACGAGUUGAGGUAAACUCUCAAGUUGUAAAACCUUGAUAGAAAGGCUUAGGCUCAUUUCCUUCUUGGUAAAAUUUCUUUUCCUAUAAUAAUAAAAUUUAGAUCAGGGGAUUCAAGUUUUUAGAGAAUCAUCAAACUAAUGAUUAAUGUUUACAAUGAAACUUCUAAAUUUUAGCAAUUGUGAAAUUUCAAAUUUAAACUCUAGGUCAAAAUACGUGUGAGCCUGCAAGCCCGUUGCUAUACCUUUGAAUGUUUCAUCCAUAUUCAAACAAAACCAAUCAGUUGGAGGUUUUACCCACCAAAUAUUAGUGGUGGUUUUGGUUCUCAUGAUCAUAGUGCAAUCAACAUGUUUAGUCUUAUGGUAAGAGUUCAAUACAUAAAUCACAAAAUCACAAGGCUUGGAUUUCAAUCUAAUUACUACUAUCCAUCCAGAACCAAACGAGUUUGGUAGUAGGAUGAUGAUCGAGCUAGCUUUUUUUUUUUUUUUUAAGACUUUGACUUGAUUUGGUUGAUUUUGAAGUUGAAACAUUUCAUACAGAAAGUGGGUUACCCAUUUCUCCUUUACUUCCACUCCACGUCCAUAUAUAUGGCUAGCUUUGGAGGAAAACUUACUCUUAUUACUAGAAACAAAUCAUUUUAAAAUAUUUUUUAUAACAAUAGAGUACUCUUUGUCACUUCACGUUUUCAUAAAUGAGAGAAGUCAUCCGUCAACAUUUUACAAAUCGAUUUUGUGAAGUAUUAUUAGACUCAACCAUGCAUAAAUUUUAAAAUCAUUUGUGGACAAUAGAAGUAAGAUAGAGAAUAUGUGAGAAGAAAGCAUAUAAUCUAAUACAUUCCUCAUAAAUCGAGAUAGCAUCUAGUAGCCAUGUACGAUAGGUUGUGAUAUAUCUACUUUGGAAUCAGAUCCCAGUCCCACUGUAUCAUGCACAAAGAAAAUAAAUAUAUAUAACAUGAUUAAAAGUAUAUACGAAUUGAACUACCAAAACAACUUUAGGUUGAAGGCUCUCUCUCUCUCUACACCUUUUUGUACAGUUAGAUCCAAUGGAAGAUCACCUAAUUCUACCCAGGUCACGAUUCCACGUUAUAUUUAAUAAUUUGUCAAUUGAAAAAAUUUGAAGGAUUUAAAUAAAUUAAAAUAACUUGUUUUAUACGUGAAGUUGUUUCAUUUGUAAAUACAUCUUUCUCCUCAAAUUCACAGUUUCAACUAUAAUAUUUGCAGACCAAAAGCAAAUUUGUUGUUAGUGUUAAAGGAAGCAUAAUCAUCGUGUCCACCACUUGUCUACCCUAGAUUUAUUUUAAAUAACCAUAGUCCAAUUUAUAUAUAUUUCAACAUCUUUUAUGUUUGCAUAAAGCCCUCACUUUUGACAAUGAAGCAUCCACCUAAUGGAUCAUCAAUAUGGCAAUGGCUCAAUGCAUCUAGAUUAUUUAAUUUACCAUUUCUUUUGUAGGACUUGGUUUCGAAAUGAAACUGAAAUCUAAUCUAAUAUGGGUGUAAGCAAUUUUGAAAAAAGGAAUGUUAAAAAAAAUUCAUUAAAAUAUGGUUCAAUGAAGUUUUCAAUUUUAGUUGAUCGAUCUAUAUAUUCACUACUCUUUACGUCAAUUUUUAUAAUUGUCAUUUGUAAUUUUCAAAUAUAUUGAGAAAAUUAGAUAAUGUGUUUAAUACGUGUAUAUUAUGUAUAGAUGUAUCUAAUAUAUCAUUUUAUCGGAAGUCUCCGAAGGGACAAUAGUUAACUUCAACUUCUCAUCUUUCAAACAUACUUAUUAGUAUUAAUUAAAAAUUAAUUUAAACAAUUAAAUAAUUUAAAAAUGAAUUUAUAUUUAGAGACCAUUUUUUUAGACAGGGUGGAUAUUUCUUUUUAUCGUUUUGGAUUUGUAUAAUAUGAUAUACAACCAAUGAAUUAACAAAAUAAAUUCAUAUCUAUAGCGACUUACGACUCAAGAACAAUGAACAUGUAAAAUGUCACACAACAUUUAUUGCUUUGUCUUUCAUUGGCACUUGGCAACACUAUUCCUCUUCAAUCUGUGUGGUUACCCGGGUUUAUAGUUCAAUGACUUAGAAAUUUAAAAGCUAUGCAAUAUCUUUUAGGUUAGAAAAUUUUGAUGUUAACAAAAAAAUUAUAUUUAAAUGGUAAAGAUGAGAAAAUACCAAUUUUACUAGUGGAUUUCUGUUUCACAGACCCAAAUGAAUGCUAAGUAAAAGGAAGCCUAUAAAUGCAUUAAAUUUGAAAUUUCACAAUAUGUAUGUAGUGACAAUAUUAAGCAUUUUGAGAAUUUAAAGUGGUAUGAUGAAGGGUGAGUGAAAUGUCCUGUUUUAUUAAUACAAGAAAGAAGAACAAUAUAUAAAAGAAUGGAUUAGUAAAUGACAAGGUCACAAAAGGUCCCAAUAUCGAGUGUUAUAGCAUAGAAAGUGCACGUUCACGUUCUACAUGAAUUAUUGCUUCUUUUUUUUAAUACAUUUUGCCAUUAAGAAAAAACAAACUUAGAAAUAUAGGGGAGCCCCAUGUGAUUACCGUACGACCAAUUCAUUUUGUCAUUUUGUUUGGCAAGUUGGCAUUAUUGUUAGAUAAGUGUUUUUUAUGGGUCUCACACGUGUGAUUACAUACAUUCAUAAUAUGGCUGCUCCCCCUAUGUAAAAAUGGCUAUGUUAUCUUAAUAUGUCUCUUAUUGAUAUUAUUAUAAUUGCCUAUAUAUAAGCAAUAAUGUCUAAUAAUAUUAUCUUUUUAUUGUAUCAAAUAAAAAUCUCUUCAAGGGCUUCUUCUUCUACGUGUCUUAGUUUUUUGACACAUAUUUGUGUUUUAGUUAGAAGUCACAAAUUUUGUCAAAACAAAGUUAGAAGUCAUGACUAAUCAAAUGAAUAUUUGUACUCAAGUUAGGUUAAAUAAUAUUAAUCCUUUGAUUCAUACUAUAAGUAUCGUGUAUAUGUGAGAUAGGUAACUAACUAGCUACAAUUAUUUAGUCAACUUCUUUUUUUGUUUUCUAGUUAUGCUAACAACAACACUAACUAGUGCUUGUUUAGUGAGCUAAACAAAAUUAAAAUAAGCUGUUGUAAUAUUGCAAAAGCGCUAUACUAUAGGUAUAUUUUUAUGGAGUGCAUCUUUGCUCCAUUUAUCCCUUUUUACUUCACAGAUAUGUGACAUGUGGUCAAAAUAAAAUCAAGGAUUAGAAUUAAAAAUUUUACGAAAAGUUAAAAAACAACGCGCACACACACAUGUUUCUUCUUUCUCACUCACGCGCCCCUUCUUCUUCCUCACAUCUUCAUCAUCACCUCCACAACUCAACUACUAUGUUCUUCCCCUUCCACCUCCUGCGGCAACAACAUCAUUAAUUUCCCAACUCUUGUUCCUUUUGGGUCAAACAUAUUAGACCAAUUUGACAUUUAGGAAAUUCACCCAACGGAAAUUGACAGCUGGAAUAGUUAACCUAGGAAGAAAUUGGUUAGUAAAAUCAAUUAAAUGGUUCGCCUUCAUGGACCAUUGUUGUUAAAUGGCAGGCAUGGCAGAAUGGAGUGACAGAUAUUUUGACAACCAUCAUAGCUAUUCGUGAAGGGAUGCCCGCAAUACAUGUUUAUAUGGAAGAUUCUCUCCACCGUCGCCAUUUCCACCGCCACUGAGUUAUGUGAGGAGAUGAGUGGAACAAAAAGAUAGAACGCCACCAGUCAAUGGAGGGAGUGGGGUGUGGAGGCGAUGAUGAAGAUGUGAGGAAGAAGAAGGGGCGCGUGAGUGAGAAAGAAUAAACAUUUGUGUUUUUAUGUGCUUUGUUUUUCAGCUUUUUGUAAAACUUUCAAUUCUAACCUUUGAUUUUAUUUUGGCCACAUGUCACACAUCUGUGAAGGGAAAAGGGAUAAAUUGAGCCUUGGUAAAUGGAGCAAAGAUGCACUCAUUUUAUGGGUGUUCAAAAUUGAAUCGGGUUAGCUUUCUAUUUGUCUCGGUGAAGAUCCUUAAGGGAUCAUUAAUUAUAUUUUACUUUUUUCAAGAUUUAUGUGUCUUUAUCUCUCCAAAUUAAAGAAAUGGAGAAACACAUAAAUGGAGAGGAUCUUAACCCCUUAAAGAGGGUCCUCGUAGCGCUUUCCUCUCACUAUUAUUCCCUGGUACCCUAGCUAGAUUCAACUUCUCCUCCCCAUUCUUUUAAUGGUAGCAAUGGAUCCGGAACAACUUCUGACCGCUUAACCACACUCAACUUCUCUCAAAAAAAAUAUUGAAUCAACUUGUAAAUCAAACUAAUUCAAAACAAAAAUGGUAAAAAUUUAUGUUUGCUUCAGAUGUAUUUGAGUCAUUUUUUGACUCAACCGUAUGGUUUGAUUUAUUUUGUGGCUUUUAUUUUACCAACUGAAUUAAACCGCAGUAUCAAAGAAACAUUAAUUAAACAUAUAACAUCAAAUCAAGUAUGCAUAGAAGUUUUCUCUCCAAAAAAAAAGUACUCAUAGAAGUUUAAUGAAAACUUUAUAGGAUGACAUGAUUUUUCUUUUGUUAAAUCUCUUCUUUACUUUUUAUUUCAAAAAUGUAUUUAUACUUUUAAUUUUAUUUUUUUUUAAGAAAUUUACUUUAAUUUGAUGUUGCCUGCAAAAGUGCAUUAUUUUUAGUUCAUAAUAAUAUAUACAUUAACUUUAUAAUAAUAUACAUUGGCCUCAAUUAUCUCAUUAAUAUGCAACGUUUUUUUAUGUUGUCACAGCAACAUUUUGAAAGGGCAUUUGUUAAAGGUAAUUUUAUAAAUAUUAACCUUAAAAAUUGUUCAUUAUUUUGCUUCAAACAAAUUUAGGUCAAAUUGAUCAUGAGAUUUAUUAAGGGCACGACAUACCUCAAAUCUCAAGGGUUCUUACACGAGAAAAUGGUACGAGUCAGCUAAUUACUAACUUGAUCAACGUCAAUCAACAAUGUUCUUCUUUAUAUGGAUGAAAUUAUAAUCGAAGUCUACUCAUAUAUUCCCUCUGUUUUAAAAUGAGUGUCGCUUUAGUAAAAACAAUUGUUUCAAAAUAAAUAUCGCUUUACAUUUUCAAUACAACUUUAAUUUUUUUCUUCCAACUUUACCUUUAAUAAAUACUCCAACUUUUCUCUCACACACAAUUUUCAAUGCAACUUUAAGUUUUGUCUUAUUCUUAUAAAGUAAGGUUAUUUUAGUAAAAUUGCUAUGACAUUUGACUAUUUAUUCCACUCCUUAGCGAUACUCAUUUUAAAACGGAAGGAAUAUCACAUUAUCAUAGAAAAUGGAAAAAACUUUGCGAAGGGAUACCUAUAAGGCUAAGCCUAUAUCAAGUAGAAUGUAUAUAUUUACCAGGUGGCAUUUAAUUUGGGAAAGGCUAGUUUUUUCUCACCAUGGGAAAGCUAUUUCUGACCAUUAGAUCUAAUAAAGAACACAUCUUUAUCAUAAACUCUCAGUAUCAAAUCUCCCUCACUUUCUCUCUCCACCUCCUCCCAACAACAAACUUCCUUCCACACCAUUGGUGGCACCUACUCUUCCACCACCACCACCCCCUUCCCCACCCUCCUCCCACAUCACCACUGCCAUCCAAAAUCAAAUACACAUAUUUUUGAAAAUGUAUUCUUGAUGAUAAUAAGAAAGUGUUGUAUUAGAUUUACUUGAAAAUGAGUUGAUGAUUAUGAGAAGCUUUAUGGAUUGUGUGGCUACCGCUUCAACCUCAACUAUUACAUGUGGGCACUUGUAUUUCAUACCAGCAGGAGGCUGAAUAACCUUUGCUACAAGCGGAAGCACUUUACUAACAGCCUGGUAUGACUUUGCAAUCGGGCAAUUCCCAUUUUGCAGCCAGUCAUUGCCUGCCUCAUGCUUCGAACCAUCCUGAAUAUCAAUUAAACGAAACACGUCAGAGACACUGAAAAAGUAUUUUAAUCGAUUUUAAUUGAUUUAGUUAGAAAUCAGUUUUGAAACUAGCUCUAAAUAAUCAAUUUCUGACAUAUUGUUUGUCGAGCUUACAACAAUACACCGUGGUAUUCUGCUGGCCAUUGAUUUAGGUAUUAACAAAAUGAUUUGUUACUCGGACUCCAUGAUCUCCAUUCAGCUCCUUAUUGUGCACGCCUCCACUUACCAUGCCUAUGCUCUGUUACUUUAAGAUAUCAGAGAUCUUUUGUCCUCAAGGAAUUUCACCGUUCAUCAUUGUCUAAGAGAAGGAAACCAGUGUGCUGAUUUUUUAGCUAAGCUCAGUGCCACCUCGAAUGAAGAAUUUACAACUUAUGAUACUUCUCCAAGUGACCUACUACCACUGAUCAAGAACGACACCUUAGGAGUAUUUUACCCUAGAGCUUAGUUUAUUUUUCUCUGUUGUUUUUCCUUUUUAAUUUAUCUUUCUAACCAAAAAAAAUAAUAAUCAAUUUCAAUCUCAUGGGGUUGAAGAUAAUGAGGUUGAAGACAAUAUGAAAUAAAUAUAUGGUGUAGGUAGACUAUGAUAAGAUCAGUGUUCUUAUAAAAUUUAAUGGUAAAAAGUCCACUUUCUCAUGGUGGAAAACAACUUCCCUUUCCCAAAUUAAACGCCACCAUUUACCCAAACAAAACAAAAGAGAAAGAAAAAAACAAAAGACACAAAAAGAUAAAAGAAGUGUUAUAAAAGCCAAAUGGGAACAAUCACAACCAUAUAUCUCUCUAAAUUCACUAUCUGUCUCUCAAACCAACCUUCACUUCUCUAUCUCACUCAAGACAGAAAAUGGAUUCACCAACAUCACCUAGUACACAAGACCUUAACCUCAACAACCUCAAACCACUCAAAAUCUUAGGCAAAGGAGCAAUGGGAACCGUUUUCCUCAUCCAACAAAACAACAACGUUAACACCACCAUGGCACUCAAGGUAGUCGAUAAAUCCUCCACACAUCAAGCCGAACGUCGAGCCCGUUGGGAGAUCGACGUCUUAUCAACUUUAUCACAUCCAUUUCUCCCUUCCUUCCUGGGCAACUUUGAAACGGCUCAGUUAAUCGGAUGGGCCGUUCCAUAUUGCCCAGGAGGUGAUCUAAACGCGCUCCGUUACCAACAAACGGACCGCGUCUUCUCAAUAACAGCAAUCCAUUUCUACAUAGCAGAGAUUCUCUGCGCUCUUCAACAUCUUCAUACCAUGGGCAUAGCUUAUCGUGACCUUAAACCUGAAAACGUUCUUAUUCAACAAUCUGGCCACGUCACCUUAACUGAUUUCGAUCUCUCACGUAAACUUUCACACAAAACAGUUAGAACUUUAACCGUUGAAGAUAACAGAAUCCACGAAUCUCAACGCAAAACUCGGCGAUGGAGAAUUCCACUCAAUCGUCGAAUUAGUCCGGUGAGUCGUCGUGGAUUGAGUUUCUCCGACGGUGAAAAGUCUAACUCGUUUGUUGGCACAGCAGAGUACGUCGCCCCGGAAGUAAUCCGCGGCGAAGGACAUGAAUUUGCAGUUGAUUUUUGGGCUCUUGGAAUUUUAAGCUACGAGAUGCUGUAUGGGAAAACACCGUUUAAAGGGAAGAACAAGAAAGAAACUUUUUCAAACGUGCUUUUCAAGAAGCUUGAAUUUUUUGGAAGGAAAACGGCGUUAACGGAUUUGAUCGAACGGUUGUUAGAGAAGGAUCCGUUGAAGCGUUUGGGUUAUGUUGGUGGUGCUGAAGAGAUAAAAGAGCAUGAGUUUUUUAGAGGGGUAAAAUGGGAAAUGCUGACGGAGGUGGAACGGCCACCGUUUAUUCCGUCGAGAGGAGAUGACGGAUAUUUGAAGGCGGGGGAAUUCGGUGAUGGAUUGGAUAUAAGUGAUUAUUUUGAAAAGCUGAAAUUGCCGUCGUCGCCGUUACGGUCACCGUCUUCUGAGUUUGAGAAUAGUGUUUCUUUUGAUGAGUUCUGACACACACGUGUGAGGUUUUGCUCGUGUGAUGAGACGGAGUUAGUUAUUCUUUUCUUGUGACUGAAAAUUCUGUUUGCAGAAGUACAUAGACAAUAACGGUAGGACGUGUAGAAGCUGCGUCUGCGUUGGUGUAAUAAUUUUACUUGAAUUUUGUGGUCACAAAAUUAUGCAUAUUAGUACAAAAUACGUAUAUAGAAUUGUACAAUACUACUGUUUAUACUUUAACAUUUUUUGAUGUGUUUUCUAUACGUUUCUCAUACUUAUCUUUUUUAGUCAACGUGAUAUAUUGUUCUUUUUGUGGUGGUCGGGAUCCGGACCUUCCAUAUAUUAUACAUUAUAGAUAUUAACUUAGAUAAGCUCACAAUGACAUGUAAUAUUUUAUUUAAUUUGACAUGAGUGCAUAUAUUAUACGGAUUGCAGCAUACGUAAUUGCUUACCUUGGUUGGAUUCGGUGGUUGAUACUUGAUACGUAAAUUUAUUGGUAAAUAAAAAAAAUAGUAUUACGUAAUAUUUUAUUGAGAGACAUGUACUCGAAUUAGUUUGAAUUUGAGCAUUAAUUAGUCAAUCUUGUUCAGGUAUUACAUGAGUAAAUAGCAAUAGAUAAGGAAAACUAGUCAUACAUGAAUAGAUCUUAGUGAAAGCAAGAUAUGUUGGGUCUGAACUGAAGUAUUUGGAACCAUAAUGCUGUUUUUUGUGGUGUGCAAAAUUCAUGUCACCAUUAUCCAAUUUUAGUAUAUGUACUUGUUUUAAUUUUCAGACUGAUUUUCAGGUUUUUUAAGGGGUCUUUGAUGCCUCAUAUGAAAACAUUGCUAGUUUACUACAAUUGAGAGUAUAAGCACUAAUGGUCUAAAGCUUAAAGGCAUUUCUCUUUUGAGAAGAAACUAAGCAUUAGUAGCAGUACCAAUGAUUCUAAUUAUAAUUCUCACUGACACCAUUUGAUUCGAAUAAAGAUUAUUAUCAUUAUAAUGACACUGUUUAGUGUGAUUAUCGAAUAAAGUCUAUGUACAUAAUAAUGAGCUACUGAAGUUAUAUUCCAUAACACGUGCUCAAGCUUGUUCUCUUCAUCCAGUAAAAAAAAAAGCUUCUUCUCUUAGUAAUUAAAUGCUUGAGCUUUUUCUUUUUGACAGAUCAAAAGCUUGUGAGCUAAUGAAUUACGCUUCUUUCCUUUUUUGUAUUUGUUUAAAUUGGAAACAGAAAAAUACAAAACUCUAAGAUAAUUUUUUUUUUAUUAUGAUACACAACAUUUUGUUCCAAACUUACAUAAUGCAGAGAAAAAUUGCCUUCAAUAAACAUUGGUUUGUGAAAAUUUUCAAAUAAAAAUCACACAUUAUUCACUUGUUACUUAUAAUUGAAAAUUAUUUUGUAUGGCUCAUAGCUACCGGCAAGUGGGAAGGUUGUAUAAGUUGUAAUCUGAGCCGUAAUAUUUAAAUAUACUCUGUACACUGUAAACACCAAUCAUUCAUUAAUAAUACAAACGAACUGUGACAUCUUCUCUGCAGUUGGAGAUGUAGAUACAAUUAGGCACACUUUGUAAAAAACAUUGUGUGUUCAUUGUUUGCGUUUUCUUUAAUCUUUUGUAUUAGGUUAUUGUUCUAACAAGAAUUUUGUCAAUCUUCUAAUCUAAUAAACAUGUUCAUUUGUCUAAACAAUUCCUGGAUGUGUCACUUCACAUAAUUGUCCCUUAUGCAGGAAUCUGGUGCUCAGUUGAAAACAAGAGGUUAGAAUAGGAACAAGUUCCCCUACACCUAGCAGUAACGUAACUAAGUAUUCCUUGUGUCGGCUAAAUUUUGUUUUUGAUAAGGUAUGAAAUUAAUUGAUUAUGGAAGAGAUUACUUCUAAAUUCAAAGGAUCUACAGUUUUAAAUUAAACUUACAAGCUCAUAGUUUAUUUUAGUCUUCAAUUUAAUUUGCUAGGUGCCAUAUUUUAAUUUUUUGGAUUUACUAGUAAACAUGUUGUGACUCAUGAUUGAUACUUGUGUGGUAUGGACAUACUGUAUUUAAUGUUUUGUAUUGCAUUUCCCUCAACAAACAACAAAAACCUACAAUGUCUGAUAGAUAUUUCAACUAUUUGUUUCUAUCUUCUAGCUAGAUUUGAUAUCUUCUCUCGUGUUGUCUAUGUUCUGAGGUCUUACUCAUAAUUUGGCUCUAGUCUUUAUUUUUUAUUUUUAAACUAGUACUAUAAUGUACUCAUAAAUAUAAGAUUACAUAAUUGAAGGAAUAAGUUGCCGAAAGCUAUACCAUAAUUAUAACUAGCAAGAAUUUAGUCCAAGCUUUUUAGAAAAAGGAUUAUUACCUUUUUAAUAUUGGAUGUAGAAACUGAUUUGAAAGCCUUUAUAUGUGCUGAAAGGAAAAGUGGUGACUUCAAUUUUGUUCUAUUGAUUAACUGUAAGUAGUCUAUAAUCCCCCAAAUUAUGCUUUUUUUGCCGUCAAAAUGGAGAACAAAUUAUACUAUCAUUCCUUCUUAUGAAUUAAAAGUUCUCUCAUUCUUUUCUGACCAUAACACUUGAUUUGUUGUGCAUAGUUUAUUAUGAACUUUACCAAUAUAUACAAGUGAAAAAAGUGUUACUUGAAAUUUUCUCAUAGUGACCGGGGAUCCAAGAUCAAUAAUUCGAUAGCACUUGAAAGAUAGAUUAUUUUUCCACCCUAUUAAUUUCUCGCACGCCUUUCAGAUUUUGGAUUAUAAUCCUAAAAACAUAAAACACCCUCAUAAACACGUUAAAAUAUCCUCCAAAACGCUCCAUCUUUUUGGAUUUUAUACUUCGAAUAGAGUGUGUGCCAGAAAGUUGGAGGCUGGAAAAAGAAACAGUCUACUUGGAAUACUUGGUUAGAGAAAAGGCCCAGUAUACUUGAAUCUGGAGUAGACACUUAGCCCGUUAAUCAGCCCUUGGGCAGAGAAUAUUCCAAGUUGGACCAUUUAUUUGGAAAUUGCUCUUUAGGUUUCUAACAUUGCUCUCACACACACAAAAAUUCUCAUAAUAUCAUCAAUACGGUUAACUACCAUUUCAAACGACAGUUAACUGCCAUUGAAAAUAUUGAAGGGAAUUUUGGAUGUGUAAUAGCAAUUUCAAAAACUUAAAAAACAAUUUCCCAUUUAUUCUUGUUCUACUAGGCUUUUUCCAGUUUCUUAAAACUUCUAUUCGGACCAACAAAAAAAAAUAACUAACAUGCUUGGAUCUUGUUAACGAGUAAGAAUAUUGUAAAAGAAAAGCAUUUUCCAUUGUUUUACAUAAGCCAACGAAUUAUUAAGCGGUCAUGAACUAAGACUUUUUUUCCUUAAAUAUCAUCAUAUAGGUACCAUGAACAAAGACUUUUUUUUUCUUUUUAUACAAGUUAAACUACGAAUAUUUAAUCUAUCUUAUGAAGAGAUAAAAAAAAAAAAAACGAGGACCAACCCCAUUGUCUUCACCCCGUAAGAACUACAAGAUCAUCCCAAGGACACAUUCCACAUCCUCAAGUUUUUUAAACAUGCGUGACACUAAUUUAGUAAUCAAACAUUUCACAUUCUCUUGAAAUUUUGUGAAGUAUUGUGGAAUGGAAAAAAUACACUAUAAAUAUGAUGGAGCAAUUGAAAAAAUAAGCUAUAGUUAGAUUUUGCAAUGUCUCAUGGUGAUAAAUUAGGGAGUAUGACGUACUCAUUUUGGUUACGUUCACAUAAUUCAAGCUGACACUUGGUACUAUUGGAAUGCAAAGACUGACCUGACUUUAUUAAAAAGAUUAGGUUUAUGUUUUUAAAAAAAUCUAUUUAAAUAAAUAUGUCAGACUUAAUAUAUCAAAAAAAACCUACGAAAUCUUAUAGACCGGUUUGUUUAUGUAUAUAUUAAAACAUAUUUUUUAUUUAUAUUAAAAUAUAAUUUAUAUUAAACAUAUAAAUCAAGAAGCAACUUAAAUAAUGAACUUUUUCAAUAAACUUUAAGGCAUUAUAGUGAUAGAAAGUCUUAUAGUGAAAUAUAUUUUACGGUCGAUAUAGUUUAUUUAGAAGUAGAUAAAAUUGACUAUUUAACGACUUUCAGAUCAUGUCAAACUUUUAAAUUGGACAGACCAGAUCAAAAAAAUAGGUCUAUGAAAGACCAUAGACCAGACUCAAGUUUGCAAAUAUUUACGUAGGUCAAACUCAGGCGGAUGAAAGUCUGUUCUGGGCUAUUCUCACUCAUAGUAUUGAAUACUAAGAGUCCAAUUAUUAUUUUAUGUUGAUUUAAGAGCCUAUAAUUUUUGUAAAACAAGAAUUUAAGAAGUGAAAAACUAUUUAAUCUUCAAUAUACACAUAUUUAGUUAUAUAAAUUUCUUAACUAGUUAUAUAAAAAAUAAAAAAAAAAAAAAAAAAUAUUGCUUCUCCAUAAAAUGCCCCUAUGUGAAAAAUUUGGAUAAUUUAGAAGGGGUGUGAUCAAGUUGUUUUUGGUAAUUAUGACAAUUUUAAUGGUUUUUGUUGAUUUGGAGAAGCUUUUUAUUUGGCAUUGGAUUAAAUCUAAACUAAGGAAUUCUCUAACAAUUUUUAUCAAAUGAGUUCUCAAGCGUUUAGAUGUUGGUUGCGUUGUUAUAUUUAAGUGUUUUUAUUUUAUUUUUGUACUAUUGUAUCUUGCCAAUGACAACACUUUUUAUUUUUGAAAGAAUGAUAACACUUUUUAUUCUGAUUGUUAUGAUUAAUAUAAUUCUGUUUAAGCCUCUUAAAAAAAAUGCUCAAGGCCCCCAUUACAUGCUAGCUUAUGUCAUGGGUCUUGUGAUUGUGAGGCUUGAUUUAUUUCCCUAGUUUUCUAAUUGAGAGAGGGAGAGGGGGAGAGCUUGGCUUUAGUGCUCUACCCAAUCACUUAUUUUUGAGAGAUUGAAAGAGACUUUAGAGUUUAGUGUCCUACCCAAUCACUUAUUUUUGAGUCUCUUACAAAUUUAGCUUUUUGGCACAACCGACAUACUCUUUUUUACCCCAAAUCUAUGUGAAUGUACACAUCAAAGAAACCACAAUUUUCAUAUUUUUUCAAUGUGUAGAUUCAAAAAUAAAAUACUGUUUUUGUCUGAUCCAAAAAUAUAUUUUCCGAGGAAUUUUAAAAUUGUGGAAUAGACAAUAUGGUUUUCAUUUUUCUUUCAAAAAAAAUAUUUUUGUUUUCAUUUUUUUUAAUCAACGUCUAGAUGCGACAUGGUUGAUGUUACAACUAGGUGGCCAUCGGAAGCACUUUCCAUGAGGCACAAAAUAAUUAUCUUACACAUUUUGUACAAAUACUAUAAGAACAAAAAACGCAAAUACUAGCAUCCUAUUUGAGUUUCAACCCUUUGAGAUCUUAAAUUUCACUUUGUUUCUGUUUGCUAUACAUUUUGAGCUUUCCGAAAUCGAGUUCAUAAGAGAGUUAAAAAAUCAAAUCAAUUGGUUUUAUAUAUUUUCAAUGAAAAUUGUUUCAGACCGGUCUAAGGCCCAAACCCUCGCAGCCACAUAGCGUACUUUCAAAACAGAGCUCACGUAUGCUCCAUUUACCCAUUUACCUUUAUAGAUGUGUGAUAUGUGGCAAAAUAAUAUCCAACGGUUGAAUUUUAAAAGGAAAAAAAUAAGUAAUAAAACAAAAUCCCUAGCCUAGCACUGUUCACUUUCUCCUUCAAUUAACCUCUCGUCCAACCCCUUUCCCUUACAACCUAUAACCAUUCAAUUGCCGCCGGUCACCGCCGCCAAUUACUCCAUCGCCACCUACCACAUCUCUUGCUUUCAUCGUCGCUCACUUAUGUCCAAUCUCCGAUUUCAUGAGCAGAUUUUCGUACCACAACUGUCGUCACUAAUCAGUUCAACGGUGACGUCACUAAUCAACCUAUCAUGGCCGCCAUUACUUAUAAAACGAUGUGUUUUGGUGUGAGUGAGAAACAAACCAAACUGAGUUUGAGAAUUGCCAAAAGAGUAGUUUUCAAAAUAAGUUCUAUGGUUUCCUUUAAUUCAUUGCAUUUGCAUUUGAGUGAAAAUUAAAUAUGUAGGAAACGGGUUCUGGGCGAAUAGAGAUGGAGCAAAUGUGUUGACAGCACAUAUAGGUUCAGGGAGAGAAGGAUAUGAGAGAAGAUAGGUAACAAUCACAAGUUUGUCUCUUUAUUUUAGCCCUUUUAAUGUCAACCGUUGGAUACUAUUUUGUCACAUGUCACACAUCCAUAAAGGUAAAUGGGGUAAAUGGAGUUAAGGUAAAUGGAGCAUACCCGAACUCUUCAAAACGAGCAUAUCUACUUUUUGAACCAAUUCGCUUAGUGAGUGUUUGGAUUUGCUUUUGAAGGCUCAUUUUCACUUUUCAAUAUACUUUAAACGCGAAAAUUGUGAAGCAAAAAUUUCUAAAAUGCACGUCUAGAAGCCUUCCAUCGCAGUCUCAAACACUCACUUAACCUAAGACUCAUGCAAUCCAUAAUGCCUCAACAAAUCAUGACAUUGAAGGGCUUCUUCCAUAAGGACUCCUCCUCCAUUACUUGCCAACUUGAUGUCUAUAAAGUUGAGCACUCUCACUCACUCUAUUAUACAUUCCCAAUUCCCAUGUGUUUAGAGUGAGAAAAGUAACGCUGUUUCCCAUCUACCAAGUACCAACUAGUAGUAAUAGAGAAGCCAUAAAGAAACGAGAGUGCAUGAUCCGACCAAGAUAGGUUACCAUGACCAAUUGAUUACCUAUUACACAAACAUGUGAGAGUCAUUCUUCUUAAAAAUAGAAAAUAGAACAUGUGCAAGGCUCCUCCAAUGCAAUGAACCAGCUAAGGAUUAUGUCGUUUUCUCACCACGUGCGGUGGUCCUUCAUCUCUUAUAUUAUCCACACAUUUUGUCGCUACAUCGGACAUAGAAAUUUAUUUACUCUUUUGUGAUACUAUCUUCAUGUGCAUGAAAGUGGAGAUGUUUGGAUUUAUAUGAUCCCAUAUUCGUUGUCAAUACUAUACCGCAUUCAGCCAUUGUUCAUCUUUUUAGAGAAAAAAAUUACUAAAGAAUUAAUUAAGGGAGACUAUCUCAUUGCAUCAAUCGAAAGCUUAAGAGAUAAAGAGAGACAAAUAAAUUGAAGAAUCAUUCAAAAGAAAGAACCAUAGUAUAACCAAAGUUGGUAAAGAAAUUAACACAAGAGUUAACCUCCUUAUAAAUAUAUUUCAGUGGGACAUUUCAAUCGAGAAGAUGGAUAAGACAAAGAAUACUGAGUAGUAGUUACUUGAAAAUCACAUUCAAUAGUAAUACUUUGUUCACGUGUGAGCUUAAGACCCAAGAAAAACCCUCAAAACUCCACAAAAAUAGCAGUAGAUGUUCCAAUGUUACAAUAUAAUUAUUUGAUGAAGUUGUCAAAUGAAUCUCAAAUUAAACCACCGCAAACUCUGGAAAGAGUGGGGGGAUUAUGAUAACCAUCGACUUUAAUAUAAACAAAAAAAAAUGUAUAUAAAAAUCUUAACAAUAAAAAAGUUAACACUAUUUUUCUUUGAAAUAUGGUCGAGCUCAAUUUUCUUAAAUAGCUGUCAUUAUUCUUUUUUAUAUUUGAUUUCUUGCUUUUUAAUUCAUAUUUCAAAGAACAACAACUCAAAUUAAAAGAAUAACAAAUCAAAUACAAAUUGACGGUAGCUAUUUAAAAAAGUUGAGCUAGACAUUACUUCAAAGAAUCAAAUCCAUCAAUUAUAAAUGUUUUACUAAAUAGAUUUAUAUUAUAUAUUUCAAUGUAAAUAAGUAAGAUAUUUUCAAGAAAUUCGUAAUUCAUUUUUUUAAUAUGUUCUUGACAUUUUCAUUUUUUAGAAGAAAGCUCUCGCGGUAGUUUUUUUUUUUAAAGAAGCUCUCUCUAUAGUUGUUAUAAAACAAUUAGAUUUUUGACCCGUAUUCCGCUCGGAUUUAUUAUAAAGGGAUUGAUAGACGGAAUAAUGAAAUGCACUAUAUAAUUGGUAACGAUGAAAAAAAUAAGUUGUAAGGUCACGUCUUUCCAUUUGCAAAGCUCUAAAUAUCAAAAUAUAUGAUUUUUGUGUUGUGUCUGAAAUUUUUACACGAAAUAGGUUUUUUUUUUUUUUUUUUAGAGAAACACGUUUAGGGCUUGGUAUAUAUAACCAAGUUUACAUAGAAAUUAGGGUAGCCAAGUUUGCAUGGAAAUUAGAUUAUUCUGUUUGUAAACGUAUUAAAUAAGUGUAGAAAAUAUUGUCAAAAAAAAAGGCAACAUAAUAGGAAUGAAAUAAAGACAUGAAAUUGGUUCAAAAAAAAGUGUACAAAAUAUUGUAAAAAAAAAGGCAUGAAAUUAGUGCGAUGAAUUUUUCUAGUAUUGUGUACAAAAUAUUGUCAAAAAAAAAAAAAAAAAGGCACGAGGAUAGGAAUGAAAUUGGUGCGAUCCAUUUUUUUAGUAUUAAAUAAGUGUACAAAAUAUUUCCUUAAAAGAGAAAGUGUACAAAAAAUUGUCAAAAAAAAAGAGUAUAAAAUAGAAGGCAUCAAACAUGAUCAUUGAUAUGCUCAUAGUUUCUAGAACAAACGUGCAAUAUCAAAUAAAUGUAUAAUAUUUCCUUUGAAAAAAAAAAAGGCAAGAGGAUAGGAAUGAAAUUCGUGCGAUGCAUGUUUUUAGAUGGAAUUUGUUAGGUUAAAUAAUUGCAAACCUAAUAAAGCAAAUGAACAGGAAAAAAUUAGGUUAAAUUGUUUCAGACAUAACAAAAUUAAUAAAUAAAGAUAACGCAUUGUUCUUGUUAUAUCUCGUAGAACUAAUAGAUUGGUUGUAGCUGAAUAUAUAUCACUAUGAUGGUUAAAUAUAAAAAUUUAUUUCCUUACUUGCAAGCAAAUGUUUUAAAAAUGGAUAUGGAGAUCGAACGGUGAGAUCUCUAGUCAUUGUUAAAUUGGUUCAAUCAAUUUAACCAAGAUUGAACCCAAUGACAAAUAAAAAAGUAAAAAAGAAACACCAAAAAAAUGAAAACCAAUUAAAUAAAUUGUGAUUCAAGCAUGGUUUAAUCCGAUUCAAUCAAACUACAAUUCAGCUGAAAUUAAUUUAACGACCAAACUAGUGUUUUCAAUUCAACCAGCGGAAUAAGCCGGCAGUUCAAUCUGUUUUAUCUAACAAUAUUACACACUCUAAAACUCAAGUAAUUAUGUGAUUGAGUUUAAAUAUGUAGUGCAUAACUAACAACAUGUACCUUGAUUUUGAUGAGAAAUUUUAUUUAUAUAGUCAAACAGUCGAGAUGAUUUAGUUGGAUAGUUCGUUACAAGUGUAACUGGACGUGAAUUAAUCAUUGCGAUGUGCAAAUCAUCGUUUAAUUGAUCGUAUGAGUACACGCAAAUCAUCAUUUGGGCCUGUGGCGUUGAGUUCUAGUUAAGAUGAACCCUAGCACAAUCCUGAAUAAAGUUAGAAAUAUUUUUAGGUCAAUUCUAUUGCUUUGAGUUUUAGUACAAAGUUACUUUACAGUUUUUUUUAGUACUGCGGUUGUCACUUGUGAAACUAUUGCACAACAAGAACAGCGUUUGUAUGACAUUCAUUGGAAAGAUUGAUGAAGUGGAAAGAAAAAAGCACAAAAUGAUCAGAUUAUUGUUGGCCUCUCAUCACCACAGAGGUCUUAUCUAGCUACUAUUUUAGUUUGUUAUGUGUGACUCCUAACAUUGCUACGUCCUUUAAAAACUGACUUUUAUGAUAGUUUUUACUCUAUAAGCGAUGAUCUGAUGGUAGUUCUUUCUUUUUGGCGGCUUCAUUCACCUAUCAGUAUUCAGUAGAGUACCUUUCCGUGGUCCAACUUAGGACUUAGCUUAUGUGGAGAGCCCAUCCCAAAAAAAUUAGUUCGUUAGAUGGAAAAACUUUAUGGCUUAAGUACCACAUUAAGCACUUGUAUUUACCAGAUGUAGAACUCCUAACAUAUUAGUGGCUUUUUUAGUAGAUUUUUUUUUAUACACGCAGCCAAGUAUCAAACAAAACAAAUUUAAAUGUAUGUUUUAUAGGAAGAAGGUUCCACGAAGAGCUCGCAAUGCUAAGUUUAGGAAUUUGCUCAAUGCUAGAAAAUCAGUCAAAAUGAAUGCAUCGAUUUAUUUUUGAAAUUAAAACUAGAAACAAGAAUGACAUUUUAAUUUGAGAGAUUAUUGAAUUGCAACGCGCAACCAAAAGAUAAUUUUGUUUCAAAUACAUCAAAAAACAACUAUUCAAAACCCAUUUCUCAUGGAUAAAGAUAUGUCGAAGACAUUCAUUAUGGUUUACACCUUGAAUACCCAUCUACUUAUUUAUCAAGGACCAUACAUUAUAAGAUAAAAAGACAAGAGAAUAAGAGAUGAUUACUAGAGUCAAUAUCACUCGAACAAGAAACAUAUAUAGGACAUUACCCCUCUUUUGAGCAAAUGUCUCUAGUUGCUAUUCUUCCUUUAAGUAAUCCUCAAACUAUAACCUUAGCUUUAGAUGAAACAUAAAUCAUAUCACUAGAUUGAACAUUUGUAUUUAUAUGUGAGACCAAAUGUUUAAAACAAGAACUUGCCGAGAAUCCCGCAGCAUUGUUUGACAACCAAAAAUCCACACAAUUCAGUAUCUUAAUUAUUGUAACAUAUGUAAGAUAUCAUGAUCAUGAUGAAAAUUACAAACACAAAUACAACAAAUCAACUAAUUAAACUACUAAUCAAUAAACACAAGACUCUUGUUCCUAUUACAAAUUAUACAAAAAUACAUAUAAUUUCUUUCAACACACAAGAAGAGUAAGUUUGUUUAAUUAACACCACAAGGUUUAAGUGGCUUCCCACAAAGACAAUCAUUGUAAACAAAAGAAGAAGCUUCCAAAUGAUCAAAAGGAUCACCAACAGGAAUCUUACCACACAAAUGAUUAUAACUCAAAUCCAAAUGUCCAAUAUAAGAAGCAGAACCCAUUGAUUUAGGUAUAGGACCCUUAAGAUGAUUAUAACUCAAAUCCAAAACCGUGAAAUAAGAUCUCACACCAAACACAUCAGGUAUAGUCCCUUCUAAACCAUUUCGGCUUAAAUUUAAAUCACUUAUUCCAGAAUUAAAAAGACUUAUUGGAAUGGGACCAGAAAUUUUGUUCAUGUCCAAAUUAAGUGUGGACAAAACCGCCAUUUUACCUAGGGACUCAGGUAUGGGUCCAGAAACUUGGUUUCUUGAUAGAUCGAGAUCUGCUAAACGAUAAAUACGAGAAAUUGACUCGGGUAUGGGCCCGGAUAAUUUAUUACCGCUUAGUAAAGCCCGGCUUAACAUUGGAAGCCUGCCGAAGUCAUUAGGUAUGGGCCCAGAAAUCUGAUUGUUACGAAUAUCAAGAUGCAUCAGGCUUCUGAGAUUUGUUAGCGACCGUGGAAUGUUACCGGAGAUAGCGUUGUCGGCGAUGUUAAGAACGGUUAACCGUUGAAGUUUUCCGAUGUCGGUGGGGAUAGUUCCGGUGAGGCGGUUUCCGAUGAGGUCAAUGAUACGAAGGAAAGGAAGGGAGGAUAUACAGCGAGGGAUUUCGCCGGAGAUACCUUUCCAAUCGGCGACGGUGAAGCUCGAGAGACGGUUGAGGUGACAGAUUGCUGGUGAGAUGUAACCGGUCAUGUAACCGGUACGGUGGUGUUUUUUUUGGAAGAUUGGAUCUUCUGACUCGCCGCGGAGGUUGAUAUCGGCGACGCGGCGGGAUUCUUUGUCGCAGCUAACGCCGUACCAUUUGUUGCAGCAAUCUGCUCCGGUCCAUGAGGUGAAGAUACCGAGUUUUCCGAGUUGGGGUUCGUGGAGUGCUGCUUUGAACGCUAAUAACGCCGCCCUAUCUGACGGUGGACAUGAAUGGACGGUGGCGGUGAGUGCUAGUAGUAUUGCUGCGACGGAGAUAGUUUGGAAAAACCUAACGCUACUCAUGGUUGAAAUUGAGGAUUUAAUUAUAGUAUAAAGUUUAUAUUAUAUAUAUAUAUAUAUAUGCUGAAAUGAAAUUAAUGAUGAACUUAGUUUAUGGUGUUGCGGUGAACUACAGUUUCUGCAUGGGGUUUGAGUUUGAGGUUCUGACAACGUAGUUAUUAUAUAGUGUUGAAUAAUUUGAGUUAUGUGACGAUUUUGCCCCUUAGAUACUGAGUGAGUAUCCUGUGAAAUCUUGAACUGUGAUUUGGUCAAUAUUUGGCUGUUCUACAUUUUUAUUCAAACAUGUAGUUAAAGACACUCAAUUUUUUCAUAUUUAUGUUAAAUGUCUUUUUCUUUUUUGGUGGUCAGGUUCGGUUUGAACUCGAACCUUGCAUAUAUUUUUAUUCUUUAUACUAACUGAGUUAAGUUCAAGAAGAUUUAUUUAUGUUAAAUGUCUAGCAGAUCAGGCGUAAAACUGGUUAAUUGAAUAAAGACCAAAUAUCAUACACUUUUGGUUAAUAUUAUAAAUAAAAAUUUAUAAUUUAAUUUUAUUUAAUAAAUAAUAUAUGUGAUUUAUAAUAUUAUUUAUUGAUUGAAUCUAAAAUAUAAAAUUGGAGUUUUUGCUUCUAAAUAGUUACCGGAAGGUGAAUGUGAAUUUUAUUUUAUUUUUACAGAUUGACCAUUUAUUUAGAAAAUAUUUGCAUCGUGGCUUUAUUUUCAUCAAACUCAAUUAAUAAAUCUUUGUUGAUGUUUAAAGUUAAGUUUAUGUGUCCAAAUUCAACGUUAUAAAAACUAGAGUUCAUGGUGGAUUGUUCAAUAUGAUUUGAAACAUCCAUGUAAUAUUAAUGUUUUUAUUAUACUAGUUGAAGAAAUUGUAGGAAUAUAUGGGGUGAAUUUGGGAGUGUAGAGGAUAAGAUUGUGGGAUUUUUGUGGGGAUAGAAGAAAAUAUGGCGCCAGACAAAGAGAUUGAGAUUUAAAGGAUGCACAUGGUGCUCUGAACUCAAUUAUGAGGCUGACAGUGUUUUUCUUCUAUAUUUUCAAUGAACAAAUAUUCACUCAAUCAUGUUAGGUAUUUGUCAUUAAUUACUCACUUCAUUCGAUUUCUAAUUGAUGUUUUAAUAUUUUAAAUUUAUUUUAAAACUAUUCAUGUUUUAUAUGCAAGAAAACUAUCGAGUAUCAUAAGCAAGCACAACCAAAUGUUAAAAACUUCAACGAAUUGAACAUUUGUUAUAUUAAGGUAUGAGUUUGAAUCCAUAAUUCUACACUUUUUCAUUCUUAAUAUUUUGUGAUUUUCGAUAGUAGAAUUUUUAAACAAAAAAUAAAUAAUUAUAUACCCAGAACUGUCUACUUAUUUUUGUAGAGUAGGAGAGGGGAACUGCCUACUUAUUAAGUAUUAUUAUUAUUUUUUAACCAAAAAAAUAUGUACAUAAUUAAUGAAUUUAUUUUGUUACUUGGCUCGUUGAUUUUUUCGACGCAUUAACGUCGAUCUUGUAAUUGACUUUGUAUAUUUUUUAGUUCUAUCAUUGCAUUUUUUGUGAUAGGCUUAAUAAUUUGUUUGAUUAAUAUAUUAUAUUUUAGCUUGUUAAAAUAAAUAUAUGUAAGUCUUGUUUUUGGAAAAGUAUGUAGGCCUAAAACUUCAACAUAAGGAAUAGAAGGGAGUGUCAAGUUUUUUUUUAAGCAAUAGGAGAUAUUAAGUUAUAAAAAUACAAUUAGUUUAUUUUUUUCAUCCAUUAUUGUUCAUUCACGAUAAUCAUUUAGUUUAGAUGUAUUUCAUGUAUCAAAGAUCUGUCUUAGGUUAUUAGAAGCUAUGGUGCAACAAUUAUGGAUGUUCAAUUUGUAGAGGUGUUAUGCAAGAUCAUAUUGGUUUUCUUUAAAAGUCUUGAAUUUACGUGAUUUAACUCACAUAAAUUUUGGUAUUUUAUAAUAAAAAAAUCAAACUUACAUUUUUUUUAAAGAAAAUAUCAAACUUACAUAUGUAGUCAUUUAAUUAAAUUCAAUAACUUGCUCAUUUAUCUUUUUAUGUUAUUUUAACUCUUUUCUUCGUUUGCAUAUGAAUUUUUAAAAUUUAAUAUUUAUAUAUAAAAAUAGAUGAAAACCACGUAUUUAAAGAUCGAAAACUCGCAGGAAAUGCAACCAUAGAUAUGAAACUUGAACAUUCAUAUACAAAUAUAUCAAAAUAUGUUAAAAUGACGUUAAAAAAAAAAAAAAGGUCAGGUCAUUAUCUAAGUAAGAAAGGACCACAAGUAUAACAUUGGGUUUCUUUCGCUGUCCUGCUGUUUGUAUAUUUUUCCCAAUGAUGGCACGUAUAGGCUUUUCCAUUAUAAUAGCUAGACUUGGUUGAAAAUGGAAAGUUUAUUUAAAAUUUGGUUUUAUUUUUAGAUAAAUUAAAACAAAUAUACAACGUGAUAUUGCAUAAUUGGACGAUGAAUACCCAACUAAACUUGAUGAGUGCUACAAUUUCACCUUUUAAAUAGAAAUCCCUACUAUACAAAAUUUACUAUAUAACCUUUGAUAAUUGAUACUCAUAUGAUAUCGGGUAAUAAAGGAUGGACAAUUUAAGAACCAAAAUGAAAGUUAACGAAUUUGGGAGGGUACUUGUGCAAAUAAACGGAACCCUAUCAUGCUCCAUCCAUCUAUACCUAAAUGAGUGAACCAUCAAAUUCGUCCUUGAAUUUUUACGGGUUGUCCAAAUUUAUCCCUCUAUUAUGCGAAAUAUCAAUUUAAUCCUUGAAUUUGUCAGACAUCAUCAAAAAGGUUCAUCCAUCCAAGUGCUUCGUUAGCCAUGUUGAUGUGUCGCCCUGCAUGUUGAGUUGUCUUGUACACGUGACAAGAAGGAAGUCACGUGUUCAAGGACUGAUUUGAUUGAAUUGGAAAAAAUUCAUUUUCACUUUUUAGACUUAUUUUUUCUCUGCUUUUCCCAUUUUGCCUCUGCAUUACCCAUACCUCCUUCUUCACAUUUCAGUCAGAAACAUCAAAAACAUCAUUGAUCCUUCUCCUUCCCGCUAAAACUUUCCCCAUUAUCACCCCUCCAAAACAUCAUCAUCUCCGGCGAUUAUUACGUUUUUGAAGUUUCUGUGUUCGGCUGUGAUUAAAGGUAACACCUUUCCUGUUGUUUAUCAAGUUCCCGUGUUCGUAUUCACCCUAUUUUUGUCCCUUUUUCGUUUUUUCGUUUUAAGUUUUGAUCAUUUUGUUUAUGUGAUCGUUGAUGCUUGCCUUGUUCUUUGUCUACCAGAAAAUGUUGUGUCUGGAAAUGCAGAAAGUGCAGGAAAUGUUGUUGCAAAUGCUGGACAAGUAUGACACUUAAAUUUUAAGGAUCGAUUUGACAAUUAUUUAAUUAAUUGAAGGACUUAUAUAAUUGAUUAUGUCAUAGUCUAAGGACUAAUUUGAUUGAAUUUGCAAUUUCAGGGUGUUGCACCAAGGAGGUAUGGUCUUAGAGGACCAGUUCUUUCAGCUGAUAGGCCUAAGCAAACACCAAUGAGGGAUCCUGCACCAACUCAUCCAACUCCUCCUUCCAUAAUUAGAGUUCCAUAUCCAACCUAUGGUCCACCCGGUUCGAAUCAACCUCAAUUCAUGAAGUUUAUACCAACCCCCGGAUUUUCAAAGAAGUGAAACUUCAUGAAGUUUAAAAUAUGCUUUUGGAUUUGUAAUAUUUAGGCUUAUUUGAAUUAUGCCACAUAGUUGGGUUUCCUUUUGCUUAUCUUUUUUUAAGACUCGUGACUUGUUAAUGCCCCACAGUUCGGUUUCUUUUGCAUAUGUAAUGUCUCAUAUUUAUGACUUAUGACCUAUGAUUUUGCCUAAGUAAUAUUUCAGUUUCAAUUUGUGUGUUCUGGCUUUUUUACUCCAUUUUGUACAUAUUGCUUCAAUGAUCAAUUUGAUUUCUGAUUAAACAAUUAAGGGACUUAUUUGAUGGGUUUUUAAUAUAACGUAUGGAUCUAUUUGAUAGAUAAAGAAAUAAUUCAGGGACAAAUUUGAUGAAAAUAUUAUUAUAGAAGGGUUACAUUUCUGAAUCAUCUUCAACCUCUUUUCAUCACCAUUAAACUUGGAGCUUGAAGAUGAAGCUCGACUUUCAUAACAGUUUUUUCCCAUAUUCCCACCCCCUAUCAUUUCAGAUUUUAUUUCAAUAGUUUUGCUUCAAGAAAUUUUGAGGAUUCUGGCUUUCAGGGUCUGAAGUUUUUUGAAUUGGGGAAGAACUCGACUUUCAUAACAGUUUUUUCCCAUAUUCCCACCCCCCAUCAAUUAUUAUUGGUGGAAAUUUAGGUGAUUUUAGAGUGUAUAUUGCAGAUUGUGUAAUUAGGGUUCCAAUUUUAUACAAUUGGGAAGAAAGAGCCGUUGGGAAAGAAGAGAGCAGUUUGGGAAGAAACCAAAAAAAUUUCUGCAAAUCAAUCAAUUUAGUCAUUCGAAAUGUUUGUUAUUUUCGGCCAAAUUAGUCCAUGCCUACGUAGCGUCUGACAUGUGAGAGGUUAACGGUCACGUCAGCCCUGUUAACGCUCCGUGUGAACAGAAUGACUAACUUGAUUGACAUUUAACAAAUUCAGAGAUUAAAUUGAUAUUUCGCAUAAUUGAUGAACGAAUUUGACUGAUCCUUAAAAAUUCAAGAACGAAGUUAAUGAUUCACUCAUAGCUAAAUAUUUGUCUCUCUACCUCAUUCUGCAUUUCCAAGGAAAGAAGUAAAAUACCAUAAUUAAUAGACUUCAAUUUAAACCUAAAUAUCCCAUGGUGGCCCGUGAGAUAGCAAUUAUUUUCCGGUGUCAGAACCUGAAUCUGUGAACUAAAGUGCAGGAUUUAUACUAGUGUGGUCACACCAUACAAGUACAACCCACUAGCAUUGUAUUUGUAUUUGUAUGAUGAUACUUGUGUGACUGUGAAUCAUGCAUGUGGGUUGUGAUAGAUGUACUAUUACCUUAAUCUAUAAAUAGACAUGGCUUGGAAUGGAGACCAUACUCGUAGAUACCUACUCGAAUUUGUCCUCACUUUAACUAAGAAAAUGCACUUUAACUAAUAACUAGAUUCAUAUUUGUGUUUUUCGUAAAUUCAAAACCAGAAGUGAAGAUGGAGACGUUGAUACUUGCUCCACCCCAAAUUUGAAACUUGACUCUCCUUAGUGAAAAAUAUUUAUAUUCGUAACUAUUUUUUAUAUAUCUUAAUAGUGUAAUAUGAUGAAGAGUGCAAUUGACAAUCUGUCAUUUGAUGAUUGAUGUGUGUCUUUUUUUUAACUGAAAAAUUUAUUAAUAUUCAAGUUUCUGCACAAGACAAACAGAGAUCGACAAGACAGAAACAACAAAUAAAUGACAUUGUAUGUAGCUAGGCGGAACACUCAAAUAUCUCAAUCGUCAAAAACAUUAAAAAAAAUGAUAACGGAUCCCACAUAAAAUAGUGAUAUCUACGUGAAUUUCAUCCAAUAAGAAAGUAAUUGUGAUAACAUGAUAGAAAGAAAAUACUCCUAGCAUUUUUCUUAAUGAAUAAAUGCAAUGGUUAAUUUUAUCAAAUAAUGGCAAUGGCUAAUAAUACUACAUACUCUAUAAAAAAUUCUUAAUCUACACAGUAUUAAAAAUACUACAUACUCUAUAAAAAAUUCUUAAUCUACACAGUAUUAAAAAAUUUCAACUUAUCGUAUGGAACAGAAGAAUCAAGUAGGAGUAUCAAACAAAAACACUCAUCGGGAAUAUUCAAUAAUUUUCAUUUGUUACUCUGCAUUCAAGAGAAAGAAUCCAACAAUCCAGUAAUGGGACAGUAAUGUUCCAGAAAAAAACCUUAUCUGCAAGAUUCCGUGUUUCGUCAUGGGAACUAUCCAACCAUUGAAAAAUUUUGUUUGUUUCAACUGAGAUUCAGCACAGGACCUGACAGUUAGGUAAGGUGGUGUCAAGCAAACUUAUUUAACAUUACUACUCCCUCUUUUAAAAUGAGUGUCAUUUUAAUAAAAAAAAUUAUUUUAAAAUGAAUGUCAUUUUUAAUUUCCAAUGCAAUAAUAAUUUUUUAUUUUCAAUUGUACCCUUCAAUUAAUAUUAUGUUACACUACUUCCAAAGUAUUAUUGUUUUUUUAAUAAAAACAAACAAAUAGUUGAUUAGGAUAAUUUGGUGAAAUUGCUACUGCAUUUGACUACUUUAUUCAAUUCCUUAAUAUAUGUGAAAUUAGCUAAAACGACACUUAUUUUAAAACGGAUGGAAUAUUAAACAAAGAAUUAGUGAAGAUAUACAAGACAAAGCAUCCAAUUUUAAUUUAAUUUGACUAGGUAACAAAGAGAAAUGUUUAGAACACGCCCCUUCUAACAUUCUUCCUAACAUUUAUUAUCUUAUUAGGUAAAAGUGAAACCAACUUAGAUUCCAAUGAUCAUAAGUCAACUUUAUAUGAAGUUUGUUUUUAGAAUGUAGAUCGCACAUGAAUUUCACUCAAUAACGAUAGAUGAUCGAGAGAGUAUUAAAAAAUAGAAAAUUCUAUGGUGAAGUCAUGAAAAUGAUUUUUUUGGUGAAGUUAAAUGAUCAACCAUUGAAUAUUUGUUUAUUUAAUCCAUGUCACGUCAUUAUAUGGUGUAUUGCACAUUGCCCAUAAGGUGUGUCAUUACAUCUUUACUUAUUGUAAUUGUGUCCCCUGAUUAAAUCAAAAUUAAACAUAGAUUCUCAUUUGUGCACUAAGAUUGAAAUUUUCCUUAUAUUUUGUAUGAGAGCUGAUUUGUAAUAAAAUAAAACUUAAUUUUAAAGUGGUCCAUCAACAUCACACUAGCUGACAUGAUAUCACUAUUAACUAAACAAAAUAAUUUUUUUAAAAAAUCAAUUUUUCUGACUUCACCGUAGAAACCCCCUAAAAAAAUAUCUAUAACACUUUUCGUCGACAAAACACACGAUCCCACCAUUUUUUUUAGUGUGAGAUGAUUUUCAACAAGCAUGUGUUGUCAUGUGCGGAAUUAUCUCCCCAAGAUGGUUGGUCAUCGGUCCUGGAUUCUCUUUUGUUCUCUAAGUAAUUUCUCAGUGCCGCAAUGACUGGUUUAUAAAAAUUGUCUUAAUAUACUCCGAAAAAUUAACAAAACGUAUUUUAGGACAAUUACUUCAUAUGUUCUAAAAUAGCUAACUAAAUGUUUCACAUUUAUCAAUGUAAAAUUUGGAAAUUUAAUAUUUUUAUUUGCUAUUAGUAAAAUAUAAAAAGUUGAUAUUUUAAAAUUAUUUAUUGUGAUUAAUCUAUCAAUGUCUUAUAUGUUAUUAUUUGUUUUUAUAUAUUAAUAGAAAAACAUAGUCAAUUUGUCAAAACUAUGAGAUCAUUUGUAUCUAAGCGAGUUUCAUGAAGAAUCAUUCCUUAUUUUUCUAUUCAUUGGACAAACUAUAAUGUGGUAGUGUGGGUAGUAAAAAAAUGGUUGGAGUAUAUUAAACAAGCCACUAUAUCAUCAAAUAAAAUUUUGAUAGCUUAAUUGCAGUUUUAAGACUUUUUUUCAUCUUUUUGUAAAAUCGGUCCUCCUAUUUUAAAAUUUGACAGUUUUGGUCUCUUCACCAUAUUUUUUUACUAAAAAUGGUGAUAUCAUAAGUUUUAAAUGUUGUGGUAUAUUAUCUAAAGAUGAGAAAAUAUCAACUUUGAUAAAAUCGUAGAAAAUUCUUUUGAAAACUUAAUUUAAAACAUGUCAUAUCAUCAUAUUUUCGACAAAAUAUUAUAUAAAAGGACCAAAACUGUGAAAUUUUAAAAUGUAAGACCAAUUUUGUAAAAUAAAGAAAAUAUGUGGACCAAAACUGCAAUUAAUCCUAACAAAAAUGGUCGGUUAUUGUUACUUCAUUUGUUUUUCACAGGGUCUUUGUUUACAUGUGGUAAUCAAUGAUUGUUGAUUGAGACACCGUCCGAAAAUAGAUAAUGACUACUUUUUAGUUAGGAUUUAGAGAUCAAACUUUGAUUUUUCUUGUGAAAAAUACUCAACUUCAUUGGUAUAAUAUGGUUGGCUAAAUUUCAUUCCUGAUAUAGAGUAGUUAGACUUAUGAGACCUUAUUUUACGGGAUUAUGCUUAAUUAACUACGGCAAAUAUGCCAUUAUACAAGGGUUUUACGCGUUUUAUUUCCUUUCCAAUGAUCAUAUUACAUGAAUAAAACUUCAGUCACGCAAUGUUUUGUGCAUAGUCAUAAUUUAAUUUUCAUUUACGAUAAACAAUUACUUUAGUAGGCAUCCCAACAUGAUAGUAUGUGCACUUAUUAAAAGAUUGUACUCUUUGUCAAUAAGAGAUUGUAUUCAUCAUCCUUCAAAAAAAAAAAAAAAGAUAUUGUAUUUUUUUUUUUGGUAGAUAGACGAAAUAGCAAAGCCAUUAUAAACUCACACACACAACACAAGUGGAGGUACCGGGGUUCGAACCCCGGUCAUGGCAUCCGGCCUAACAAUUUCGACAUUUUACCAGUUGAGCUAGGACUUCUGGAUAGAGAUUGUAUUCUUCAACCUACGUUUUCUGUAUAUUAAAAUGUUUAUGAGAAUUUAGUUUAUAAAAAAUUAAUUUAAUGAUAUUUUUUGUGAUAAUAUUAAAUAUGAUGAAAUUAUUUAGAAAUUGCUUAUAUUUAAGGCCAUCUAAUAUGACAUUUUUUAUUUAUAUUUGACUAUGAAGGAAGGAACUACUAAAUGUGCACAAAAUUUAGUUGGGUCCUGUCUCCUGUAUAAGUUAAAAGUUUUCUUAGUCAAUAUUUGCUUAAAUGCAGGAGAGAAAUCAUUUAAGUCUUCCAAAGUAAAAUAAUUGUUUUGCAGAUUUUCUGAGAGUUCAUCAAACAGCAUUCAGGAAUUGUUUAUUUGGCUUCAGAAAAAGAUGUUCCAAACUUUUCAAUAAAAUUAAAAAAGGUUUUCCAAAUAUCUGCCAAAAGGCCUAAAACACACACCCACACCAAUCUUUUAUGAUUUAUUUCUGUUUCGUUGUUUAUAAUGGGAAAAUGUCUGGUGUAUAUCUCAUAUGAGUAUAUAUACACAUUCAAAGAAAGAGAAAAAUAGAGUGAUGCGAUAAAUAUAAUAUGUUGGUUGGGUGCAUUUAGUUUGCACCACCUAAUAGAUGGGUGCAAGUAGGUGAUAUAAUAUGAAGAGAGAGUGAUUGUCAAAAAAAUGACGUGUUGAAUAAGUUUAUGAAAUUUAGAAGUGUUCAUGUACUAUUGUUGCCAUAGAUGUAGCAAGCAAAGUGCAUGUAUUCGCAUCUGAGAAUUCGUUAAUGGUUAGGUUUUUUUUUGUCCCUAUAUUUAUUUUUUCACUGCAUUCCUCCCUAUACUGAGAUCUUUUAUUAUUUAGUCCACGAGAACUAAAUAUUGAAAAGUGAAAAACUAUUAGAUAGAACCUGUGCUCCAACAUGUUCCUGCAACAUUUUUAUACUACUUCAGAUGUAAUUUCUUUUACUGUUACUUGAACUGUGAUUACAUGACCCUGUAUUCAGGAUAUUAUUUCAUAUUAAUUAAAAUGAUUUUUUUUUUUUGUCAAGGUUGGAACUUUAUCUAUAGAUGAACUCAUACACAAUGAACACAUAGGAAAAUAAUAGUUUUGCAGAAUCAAAAUGAUCAAGUAACUUCUAUUAAUUAUGUUAUAAUCUCAUACAGUAAAUUAAAAUUGAAAAUUACUUAUACAGCUAAACGGAAGAAAGGGAGGGCAAUCACAUAUGAUACCACUCUUCAAAGACUAUUUUAUAAUAAAGUAAAAAGAUAAGAAAAAAUUCAUCAUUUUAACCCAUGGGAGGUUGUUCUCAUGCCAUUUCAAUCACUAAGUACAUAUGAAGCUGGAGAUGUUAUAAUCAUCAUUUUUAACAAGUGUUUUUUGAGAAGUUUUCCCCCCACUAGUUCUAACUUCCAAUAGAAUUGUAUCCAACUGAAUAUAAACAACAGUUAUAAAACCAACAUAAGAUAACAUACAUCAAAUUCUAUGGUUACUAGCCUCUGAAACGCAGAUACGAUCAAGUCUAACAUGUACAGCUGUGUCUCUUAUGUACAGCCCCAUACUAGGUGUUUUUGGAUUCUUUUUUUAGAAGAAUCUUUUUUCAGCUAUGGAGGAAGAUGAUUGUCAUGCAAAUGAGUUGAGGUAGCAGUGUGAAAGGGGGACGAAACAUUAUUGAACAUAGCCGCCGGCACCAUGCUGUUAAACUGCAUUGGCAUGACAUUAUGUGACCUUAUAUCAGUAUGCUCCUGUCACAAGCACAUACAGACGUUAAAAAUUUGGAACCAGACGUCCAAAACACAAAGAUGCUUUCACCAAUAUUUAAUGAAAAUUUAUAAAACGAUCUCAUCAAGAUUCAAGAAUACAGAUAUUGAAUGUUUGCCAAAAAUUAAAGUCUAGCAUAAACUACUAUAAAUUGGAUCGAAAAACUAAACUAGUCUGCUAUUCUUUAUUUUCCCUUCAGAGCCCAAAGUCUCAUCUCAGUGUAUAUUUGUCAUUGAUGGGAAUUCAAGAAGUCGGGUAUUGAAACUCCCCAAGAACAUAACAUACGAGCAAAGCAAAAGAACCAACUUCAACUACAACAGUGUUCACAAUAAAAUGUUGUGUAACAUGAUGCUUGACAUCAAUAGGGAACAUAAAUCGUAGAUUAAUUAGAAAGUAUUGUUAUAAUUGGCAAAGGUGAGACGAAACACCUUGGUGUUUCCACAAAUUGAUUCAGACCUGCUUACUAAUUGAUUUGUUCUUUGUUGAUCUGAUUCCAAAGAUUUUCAACCAUAACUUCAAUGGUCUAAAUAAUAUAGAAGCUUGAUUAAUCUAGUAAUUACUAUUUAAUCAUUUGAGUACAAUACAUCGGACUUAUGUCCGUUAUUACUACUGUGAAUGGAGUGCCCUUGCACUUAAGUGUGGUUUUGGCACAACAAAUAUUAUGUGUAAAUCUGGCUUAGAAACAAAGCAUUUUUGUUGGAGAAGAAUCACGUCUUGAGGGGACCAUUCCACCCAUAAGUUCUUUUGGAUAGUAUAUUUUCUAAUCUACUCUCUGGUUUUAAUGGUCAUUUCAAAGCAGCAUUGUGGACAGGUUCAAUAUGCAUGCGCCACUACUGCAUUCCUAGCAUCCUUGUUUCCUUGAUUUUGCUUUUGUUUCAUUUUAAAUAGUUUAUGGUAUCCUGUUCAAUCUCAAUAAACGAGCAUUUUUAUGAAGUUGAUGAAGAGGAAAUUACACUGACGUCCUAUGAGGUCUCUUUAAAUGACACAAACACCCGUUUUAGUUUUAAAAUAUGCACUAACUCCUAAGUUCUCAUCAAAUACACAAAUACCUCCCUUCAUCAUUAACACCAUUUGUUUCUCCGUUGAAAUACAAAAAAAAAUUGAGAAAACAUCACAGUAAAAUCACAUGCUCACAAUAAUAUUCAACAACAAGCUUGACUCCCCCGUUUAGUGACCCCCCUUCCAAACGUUAUAUUUUUUACACUUGACAACAUGACUACGACAUUAACGCUCGAACAUGUUUUUUCUCCAAAUUCACAUGACAAGAACAUCAAUUUCUACAUGAUAGCAACAAUUUUGGAGCCAAAAAACUGUUUUUAAAGAUGGUAUUUUAGCAUAUGUCAGCUGCUAUAUAAUAUAAAUCAAUUAACUUUGAGACAAAUAAACCAAUGAAAAUUGGACAAAAGAAACUUAAAAAGUACUCCAAAACUGGAGUAGUGAUUUUGAUGAAUUCAAAACUACAAAAAUGUGUCUUCCAAACUAAAUGAACCAGUCAACAUAUUAAGCAUUAUAAGUCCUCCAAAUAUCUAAGUGUUUGACAACUAUUUCGUAUUUGGUACAUGUCAUAGGGAUUCGACAAAGUUUUACGUUGGAUUAAAGAACUUUUUAUCUUCUAACAGAAAUCUGACAGAAUGUAAUGAAAGGGGAGGUUAGUUGCAUUUAGACAAAACUAAGGGGAUAAAUUAUAAGAACUUGUUAUUGUAAAUUUGAACGCAAUAGAAAAAGUCAGGGCAUAACAUACCAAUUGUUGAAAGCCAUCGUUACUACCACUUACUGCUCCAAGCUGAGGCACCUAUAUGACAUAAAGAAUGCCAAGUCAGAGUCAAUUUUAAAAAAGUACAAGAAGGUCAAUCAGUAAUCACAAAAGUAACCAACCUUUCCCUUUCCUUCAACACCUCCUGGACUCCUACCAGCUACACCAGUCCUUGCAGCCUUCUUACUCGUAUUCAAUUUCGGAUCGGAGACCUUAUCAUUAGAUGGUGUAAUAGAUUGAUACCCUUCUUCACCAUUGCAACUAAUAUGGGUAGCCAAGGCUGAAUUGUCAACAGAGUUGUUCAAAUUUGCACAUUGCUUUAGAGCUUCACUUAAGGAACCUAAAGCCAUAUAGUAACUUUCUUGGGAUAAAGAACCUUCUUCACCCAAUAUUAUGGCUCGUCUACAUAAAUCAUUUAAUCUCCGGACCUUGGAUUGAACCUCUUCCAAGUUUUCACCAAUAGGAUACCUACUUAAAGCAACAUUUGUCCAUCUUUUCAAUAUAUACUUUGGCGGGAUGCUAAAAACACCAGACAUUUGUAGAACAACAAUUGCAUGUCUACAUAGGUAACCUUUAUAUUCAAACAAGUGACAGGAACAACAUAUAUCCGAGUUUGAUGUGUUCCAUUCUACCAUGUAGUUCUGAUUAUUUUCGAAGUCUUUCACAUCAUAAGUAGUAAUCACACCAUCAUUUUCUUUCUUUAGAUGGCAAGCAGAAGCACCCAAAACCUCGAACUGAAACUUUUGAUAGAUUUCAUGAGUAUAAACUAACAACAGUUGUUUUUCGAAAGGGGAAGGUGACUUUAAUUCAGGUGUUUCAUGCCAGGCAUCAAAAUUUGCUUUGGCUUCCUCUUCAUCUCUAUCUUCAAGAAUCAGUUGGUACUGAUCUAUAAAUUGUCUUAAUGAAGUAUCAACUUGGAUAUAUUUGUCAAAAAUAGAAUUUAAACUUUCAAAGCGCGAGCCAGUAGACAAGCCAGCAAGAGAAAUAUCCUUCAUAAACGUUGGCACCCAACAUGCACGAUCAUCAUACAAGGUUUGAACCCACUUAACAUCUCUAAGUUUAAACCUAUCAACCAGCUUCCACCAUCUCUUUUCAAAUUGCUCUUCUGUCCAUGAUUGAUAUAUACACUUGUUGAACUUUUCCAUAAAGCUAUCAUGCCAUGUACUUAAGAACUCAAGUUGUUUCGGUAUCUUUUCCAAAACAUGCCACAAACAAAAACAAUGACGCGUUCCAGGAAAAACAGCAGCAACAGCAGCUUUAAUAGCAUCAUUUUGGUCAGUUAGAAUCACUUGCGGAGCACGUUCCCCCAUUGCUACAAACCAUGUUUGCAAUAACCAUGCAAAGGUAAACACAGUCUCAUCAGCUAUCAAUGCACAUCCAAGCAAUGUUGGUUGAACAUGAUGGUUAACUCCAACAAAAAGCACCAACGGUAUCUUAUACUUGCUUGUGAAAUACGCUGUGUCAAAAGAAACAACAUCAGAAAAAUAACCAAAAUCUUCCAACCCUUUAGAAUCAACCCAAAACACAUUUCUAAGUCGAUGCUCUUCAUUCAAAUCAAUGGCAUAAAAGAAUUUCGGAUUCUCUUCCUGCAUAUGCAUAAACAAUUCAAGAAGCAAUUGAGCAUUCCCCGGUUCUAAAACCAAACUCCGACCUUUAUCUUGUUGACGAUUCAUCAAAUUCUCCAAACAAUCAAUAUUCUGAUACGCGCUAAACAACUUACCACCACCUGCAGUCGAAUUCUUCCUCCGUCUCAUCCUAACAUCAUUACUUAACGGAUCAUUAUUCCUAUGACUCCGAAAAAAAUGAGCUUGAGCAGGUAAAAGCUCAUGAUUAUGCUGCUUAACAAAACUAUAAACAUACCAUUUACCAUCCUGUCUUCUCUUUACAUGCAUACUUGCUUUACAACCGAUUUUCGGGGAAGGACGCGGAUUAAUCGCGUCAUCGGAUUGCUGUUUAUUACCAUAUCUAAUACACGAAAAUUUCGCAUCGAUGAAUUCUUUCGAUGCCCUAGAUCGGCGGCUACUUAACUUAGCAGUACCAAACCCUGCUGAUUUUGCAUAUUCUUUGUAAAAUGAAUACGCAGCUUCAUGUGAUUCAAAUUCCAUUUCAUUAUUAGGGUCUUGAAUUGUGUUAGCCAUAAUAAUAGAAGAAUCCAUAAUUGCCUCAAUAAUCCAAUUUCAAUUGUACCUAAAUGGAGGAAUAAUGAUUUACUGAGAAAUUCAAUUAAACUAGAGCUAAAAAAAUGAUUUUCUUUUAGAUGGGAUAAUUCAAUGUAUUCAAAUCACGUUGGAAUAGUAUUUGAAAAAAGUAAAUACCUGGACGGUUGUUUGUGGCGGCCGGAGAACAAACUCCGGUGAUGUUUUCCGGGGAGUUGAGAAGAUCAGUGGUGAGACAUCAUCAAGUUGUUUGAGACACUACAAGGAGAAAGUGGCAGGGGCUGCAUUUUUUGGGUUUGUUUGGAGCUGUUAAGGUUGGUGUUUUUUUUUUUUGCUGUUGUUAAAAUGUGUCUUUUUUUUUUUUUUAAGGAUGAUGUUCACGCUUCACUCAAUGCUAGGAAACACCAGUAAUUUAUCAAUUUAAUCUCAAUGACAGUUAACUGUCGAUAAAUUUUAACCGAUGAUAGUUAACCGUCGAAGACCAUUUACUUUUUUGUGGUGUGUUUCAGCCUUUGUUAGAAGGGUGAACAGCAAUUUUUUUUUUUGCAUAGUGAAUGAAUGGGCUCUUCGAAGGGAAGUAAGUAGAUUGGGCCUUGAAUUAUAAUAUCAUCUUCUUUUUUUAAUGAAUGGUUAUUACUUUUAUCACCUUAUGCGUUACUCACGCGCCCUAUUUUUUCUUUCAAAAUUACACUUUGCUCGAAAAAUAUAAUUUGAAUCAUAUUUCAGAUUAUAUAAGCCGAAACCGUAUAUUCCAAGAAUUACAUGACAACAUUGCAUAUGAUAUUAAGAAUGCAUAAUUGAAAAUAACCAAAAUUAAAAGAGACAAAAAAUUGAAUAAAACUCUCAUUUUAUCAAUAGAUCAUAUUUUUCAUUAAAUUUACAAUAACAUUGAAGCUUAUUACACAUAAUUAUUAAACGUCUAAUGCUAAAGACCUAGUAAUAAACUUGUGGUGGAAGAAGAUGAAGGUGGAAGGAGAAGAAGAUGGAAGGGGAAUGAGGUAAUGUUUAUUUCCUUUUUAAGGCAAAUGAGACUUUGAUUGUCAACCUUAGACCCAAGCAGGUCAACCUUACACCCAGACAAAUGAUGCAAAUUUGUAGAAUGACACCAUGUCUUUUACCUAUUCAUACAAUCUAUAAAACACUAGAGUACCCUUUUUGUAUGAAAGGUCAAUGAUGGAAGCACGUUGUAUAAGAAAGGAGAAUGAGAGAAUGUGAGAUGAUGAAAUGAGAAAUUGUGAAUGAUUGAUUGGUAUUUAUAGGGUGAAAUUUAUGAAGGAUGGUGCAUAGAUUGUAACAUACCAUUAAUUGCGGUAAAAAAUGUGGUAAAACAUGGUCUAACUAGUCAAUACCAAAGAAAGAACAUGUUCAAUGAGUAACUCUUGCUUAGCAAGUAACCGUCCGAACUCUAAACUAUUUUAGAUUAUAUUAUCUGAAUUAUUCCCAGAAUUGUUCGGCUAUAAUACGAACAAUUUAAAGAUUGUGUUAAAUUCGUUCUUUAUAGGGUGAGAGGAGUUUGAAUUAUAUAAUUCAAACCAGUUUAGUACAUAAUUUUUUGUUUUUGUGGUCCAUGACGCACAAAAACUUCUAUUAAUUAGUGUGCUUGUUUUAAUAUGUUGUAAACCACACCAAAUAAUUAUGGAUAUUUCGAUCAUUGAUUUGAAAAGCAAACUAGUUGCAGUUUACUACAACGGAGGAAUACUGCCCUAUCUUUUCAGGGUUUGGGAUGAUGUCACGCUCUCCAGUUUGAAAGAUAAAUUGGAUCAAAUCAACCGUCAACUCACCCACAGAGACACAAGGAGGGUGGAUGGUGUUGAGUAUCGAAGUCCAUCGAUCAACUCAAUCAUAAGAGUGUUGUUCAUGAACGACGAAGACGUGAGAACCAUGAUCUCAAUAUUUGGCAGUACAGUACUAAAGGAUCGAUCGAGUUGGACGCUUCAUUUGUCAAAUCUGUGGAAUAAAUUCUAAAAAGUUUGAUCUGACUCAGAAACUUUUAUACUAAACGAUGCCAUUGUUCUUGUCGGAGAGCAUAGGUUUCAAUUAGAGGUGGUGUGAAUAUCCUAUGCGAUUGUUCACAGUGGUUGGUGUUGGUCUUUCACCAGUGCAGGGAUACCUGAAAAGACAUUUCAAUGUUCAAGUUAGUGAAGUUUCAACGUGAUUUAAGAAUAUUUCUUAACAUGUAAUUGUGUACCUUAUUUCUGUGUGGCAGGCCCUAUUUAUUGACCUUCAAGGCGGAUUAGUUGGUUCUACCCUUAAAGCUCGAUGGUUGAGUGAUCGUUUGUUCAUGUGAAGAGCUCAAAUGAGUUCUGAGCAUGAUAUAUGGUAUCGCACCUCAUCACUGGUACAUGUAAUACGCAACUGUAGAUGGAUACUUAUUAGACUUUAGCUUAGAUAAUGAAUUUAUUUAGAACAUACAUAUUUGUUGUGAGUGAGUCUUGAACUGAUUCAAAACAUACAUAUUCGUUAUUAUGAUUAUAUAAAGUUAGAUAAAAAUAAAUAAAUUGAAAAAUGAAGCCAAGUUUAGUCUUAAGAGUCUCACAUUUAAAAAGAAAUCCAAUAAAAAAAAAUAAUUUUUUAUUGUCAAUUUCAAAGAACUAAAAUUCAUGAUCUGUGAAACACAAAAUAGCAUGCGACGUCUACUGAAAAGCCAAGCCAAAACCUUGUUAAAAAAAAUUAGCAAAUUAAUAGUUUAUAAGAUCUACAUUAACAAUGUUAUCUCAAAAGGUGCUUUAGUCUCAUCACUCCCACAACCACUCAAAGAAUUUUGUCUUUUUAACAAAAGUUAAGUGUGAAGUGUGAACAAGGAUGUAAUGAGAUCUAAUAAUCAAUUAUGUAAAUCACAAUCAUAAUCUGUAAUAGGCUGUUAACUCGUAUUAUAAUCAUAGCUUCGUUGGUGUCAACUAUCGCACCCAUCACGUUCUUAUCGUAGCUUAUUUAUUUAUUUUUUUUGGUCAGCAUCGUAGCUUAAUUUUAUUAUGAGAAAAAUAGCGCAUCCUUGCCACUUUGGAGCAAGAGUCAAAUUUUUAUACUUAUAGGUGAUUUAAAUUUGAGUAAACCACUAAAACGGCCAUCGUUUUUUUUUAAAUCACUCUUAAAUUAGUUUAUGAUAAAUAUUUUAAAUUGAUUUUUGUUUUUAUCAAAUGUGUCUCAGUUAAGUUUAUGUUUUUAUGUUUUGUCAAAUAAAAAAUAUUAACGGAAAGAUUUAAUUGAGAAUCGUUUGACAAAUAUAGAUAUUAGUUUAUAAUACGAGAAAUACUAACAAUGUCGAUUUUUGAAAAUUGAAAAAAUAUUUUUUUCAAUGCAAAAUUUGUCUUCUCUUUCUACUUUUGAUUUCUUAAUUGUAUUCUAGAGACACCGAUUAACAUAACCCUUAAAAUAUUAACAAAGACAAAAAUUAAUUUAAAAGUGACUUACAAAGACAUAAACUAAUUUAAUCAUUUACUUUCUAAAAUUCAGUUUUAUCAUCUAAGCAUAAAACAGAGAAAAGUUCACAUACUACCAAUAUUUUUUUUUGAAGGAACAUACACUCACUGGCGGAGCCUUCAUGGUCCACCCGGAAAAAUUAAAAAAAUCAACGAUUAUAGGUCUAUUUUGUGAGAUUUUAUGCAAUUUUGUGUUGGUUUUAUGUUUUGGUUGAUCCAAAUUCCUGCAAAUUGAUGCAGUGGCCCACCCAAAAAUUUAAAUAAUUCAAUUAUAGGUCUAUUUUGCGAGAUUUUAUACAAUUUUAUGUCGGUUUUAAGUUUUGGUUGAUCCAAAUUCCCGCAAAUUGGUGUAGCGGCCCACCCAAAAAAUUUAAAUAAUUCAAUUAUAGGUCUAAUUUGUGAGACUUUAAACAAUUUUUCAAUAGUUAAUUUUAAUGGCUCACCCUAACAUUUUUUCUGACUCCGCCACUGCAUACACUACCAAUAUAAAACUGCAUUACAAAUUGUAUAUAAGUGACAUUAUAAUGAGUUUUAAUUAGAUUUUCAUGCAUGAUUAUUCGGCGUGCAACUCCACCAAACUUUAAUAUCAAAUAUUGUGCAAGUCUCAUGUAAAUAAUUCGGUUGAAGAACUAAAAAACGUUGAAGGAGUUUGGAGAUAGAGAUCAUGUUCAAUCCCAAAAAACUAACAUAACACAUUAGCAUACAUCUAUAUAUAAAAAAAAUGUCGUGCAAACAUUUUUUGUCAAAAAAUAUUCUUAUAAGUUUUUUAUUACAGUCUUGCAAUACUUUUUUUUUUUUUUUUGAGAGAAGUCUUGCAAUACUAUUAGAUAUAAGUAUUUUGCAAUAAUGAAAUGUUCAAAAAUCAAGAGAAAAUGAAAUAGCUUUAUGCUUGAAGACCCGUUUUAUUUUAGUGUUUGAAAAAGAUAAAAAAAUCAAGGGAAAAAAAGCAGCAACAAUUAAUGUGACUUUAAAAAGUUAUUAACAAACCGUGACGUAAAAGAUUAAUUGGUAAAUUAUCUUAUAUUUUUUUUAUAGAAUUAUUAUUGUUAAAAAUUAAAAUGAUUGGUUUAUUACGUUAGGUCACAUGUAAAUUAAAUAAUAAUUGACUGAAAGAACAAUAAAAUUAAUAAAAAAAAAAGAACAAAAAAAUUAAAUAAAGAAAAGGACAGCUGCUUGCCCCCCAAUAUAACGGGAUGGUUUUUGUUUUUAAUUAACUUGUUUUGUUUUUAUUUGAGGACUACGAGACUAAUUGACUUAUUUAAUUUUUUUUGACAAAAACAAAACGAUAUUCAUUCAUUCAUAAUUGACUUAUUUAAUGAAAAAUAGUAUUCCAUCCGUUCUAAAUUUCUCAUUUCGAUUAUUAUUAUAAGUAAAAAUUCACAUUUUAGGUUCGUUUAAUAAGUGAUGUAGGUGGUCUAUAAUAUAUAUAUAUUAGAUACAUCAUUUAUUGAAUGAAUAUAAAAAAAUUACAUUUUUGCUUAUAAGAGUGAGUGUCGUUUUGUAAUUUUUUUGUCUAUAUGUCGCUUUACAAUACCAAUGAAACAUUAAUAAAUGAAGAAUGCAACCUUAAAUAGUGCUCAAACUAGUGCAAAAUCAUGUUGCAAUUUGCCUAAAUCGUGCCACAUUAAAGCCAAUACACAUAACAUUACUACAUCCUUGUCCCAAAAUUGUGCUACAAUUUUCACCAUCGCACCACGAUUUUGCUUCCAGUAGUUUUCCUGCAUCAUUCCUAAAAAUCGUGCCACGAUUCUUACUUUUUCCAUAAUUUUCAAAUUUGAGUCAAUACCAACAAUUCUUCUCCUGUCUAAAUUAAUGAUGAUGUCACUUUAACCAUCAGUCAACUUGCUCAUUUUUCUUUUACUUGCAUCCAACUGCACAACGUAGCUCCACAAGGUUCCACCCUUAGCCUCUUCAACCCUCGGAAUGUCUUCCAUCCUCUUGAAGAUCCUUGCAUCCAACUACACUAGGAUUUUAGGUAUUUCCACAAGUCUAUUGCAAACCCUCUUCAACUGCGGAACAUCUCAUGUUUUCUUGAAGAUCUUCAUGCAUCUAAUUACCCUUGGUCUUUUAGGUAAUCUAAAAAGUCAUGUCAUACAUUCUUCAACUCCUGGAAUGCCUUCCAUCCUCUUGAAGAAUUCCCCUGCUCACAACUAGAGCAUACCACUAAAGGUCUCCAUAGUCAUACUAUUUCAGUGUCAUCCACUUCACCUCAAGCUGAGUUUUUAUUACCUCAACUUCUAAAUGCGUACUUCCACUUUGCCUCAGCUUCUCCUUUAAGGUUGAUCGUGAGUAUUCUUACCUCUGCCUCUUCUGAUUAACCUUGAGUAUUCUUCCCACCGCCUCUCCAGGAUGAUGUUGAGUGUUUAAUGUCUUUCAAGAUGAUCAUUCAUUUAUAAGGCAUCAUUUCCAAGGUGAGAAACAUCACCUUCUUCAUCCCCCAACAAGACACCACCAAAGCACAUUCAUCCUCAUAAUCCUAUGAGACAAUUUGCACGGGGUUAUUUUUGUCCCCAAAAACUCCUUCUUGAAGUGACUCAUCCUGUGACACUUGAAGCACUUAUACUUUGACUUGUUACCACUCUUGGAGUUUCCAUGGUUACCUCUACCUCCAUCAUUCCCUCUGGAAAUACUUAUGCCUUCACUAUUUUCAUCAACUCUCAAGUCCUUGGACUUGGUUAACUUCUUGGUUCUAAAAGUCGAUUGGAAUUCCUCCAAGGUGACAAUGCCUUCUUUGAAAUAGAGCAUGGUAUCCUUGAAGAAUUCAAAUGAUCUCGGUAUAGCAUACAACAAGAGUAUAACUUUGUCUUUAUCCUUAAGAUGCACCUCAAUGUUCUCCAAGUCAUCAUGGAUUUUGUUGAACUUUGUUAGUUACUCCACGAUGACCUUUGACUCCACCAUCUUAAAUGUAUAAAGUUGGUGUUUUAGGAAUUGCCUAUAAGCCAAAGACUUGGUCAUACAACUUUGACCACAUCGAUGUCAUCGUAGGUUCCUUCGCGACAUCCCUCAAAACUUUAUCCCAGAGGCACAAGACAAUAACACUUAUUGCCUUGGCAACCAUCUCGGAUUCUCAGUCUUCUCUAUUUGUGACAUGGUGACCGACAACAUACGCUCACCCUUCAAAGAUUUUUCACACUUUUGUUGUGUCAAAACCACUUGCAUCUUUACCUUCAAUAACCCAAAAUCAUUAUUUUCAGUUCAUUUCCCGAUGUCCCACUUUGAAACUAUGAUACUCACUUAACCAAUUCACUCGUUUGCCCCACAACGGCGCCAAUUGUUGUGAAUUCAGACUCAAAAUCACACCAAUGAACGUAGAUGUGUCGAGCAAAAUAGAAGUAGCAAUCAAUAUCAAAGUAACCUCAAACAAUAACAAACCUAGAUAUAAUCUACGAACCAAGAGUAAAACACAUCAAACCACAGGCAAAAAUAAAGAGAGAAGAGAAACAAACACACCAAGAAGUGUUUAUCCAAUUUGGUCCAACAAUAACCUACUAUGGGGAAGAGAUUGAUCUCUCAAAUUCACUAUCAAUGAGUUUUUUUUACAAAGAGAUACAAAAGAGUUACAAGAAAUUAGCUUCUACAAGCUUUAUAAGAACAAACAUAAAUUCUACCCUUUUUCUAAUCUCUUCCCAAGAAAAAUAGACUCAAUGAUUUCACUCACCCACGAUGUUUACAAAUAUUUAUCAACUCAAGAGAACCUUCAUCAAAUACUCUAAACCUUAAAUUUACCUCAUUUGAUUUUUCAAAUUUCUCUCUCUAAAAACAAUAACUUUUAUAUUAAAUACUAUGUAUUUACUCCCUCCGUCCCUCAAUAGAUAACCUAUUUGACAAUAUACAUUAUUGAUUUAACAUACUUUAGACCAUAUUAUUCUACUAAUUCACAAAUAUAAAUAAUAUCAUGUAAGAUGUUGUUGGAUUCGUCUCGAUAAAUAUUUAAAAUAUUAAAUUUUCAUAAUUUUUUUAAUAAAAAAUUGAAAAUAUCAUAGAUAAAACAUAUAAAUCAGUAUAUGUGUCAACUGAAUCAUAGUAUAAGUUUAACUUGUAUUUUCAAUUUUUCUUUUUCUUGAACAAUAACCUUAGAACAUUUGUGAUUAAAACCCAGGGACCAAAGUAUAUAAUUAAGCUUUCGUUUAUAUAAUUUUUUACUGCUGUAAAUCUGAAUUACUUGUACUAGCCUACCAGUGUGUGAUGCAGCUAUGUAGGGCAAUAGUAAAGUCACUUCACCUGGUAUCCUACCAAUUUUAUCAAAACCUACACUGCUUUCUGAAAACAGGAUCAGCUUUUUUCCUUUUUUCUCCCAUCUCAAGUCCUCACGUGUCACCCUCAUCUUACACUCAGUUUGUUCCCAAAAUUAAGGACAUUAUAGUAAAAUUAAAUCCACCACCAAAUCUGUGAAUCAAGAUUUAUGACCAUGUUUUUCACUUUCCAUUGGCUGCACAAAGAACCACACACAAAAUAAAAAAUAUUUUCUUAUUUUUUCCCUCUAAAAUAAUCCAUUACUUUAAACUUUCUUUCUCUUUCCAUCAAUAAUAUACAGCUAAAAACAUCUCCACCACUCAAACCUCAACAACAACAAUAACACAUAGAGAGGAACACAUAAACAGGAGAAUAAAAAGUGUUCUGUUUUUGCACAGAGGUUUGUGUUCUGUUCUUGUUGUUCUGUUCUUACAAAAAAUUUCAACCAAAAUAAUUAUUCAGCUGUUAUUUUUGCUACAACUACUCUUCCAUUGACCUUCUCAAUAUCAUUUUUUGUUGAUAAGUUAGAAAAAUUAAUAAAUAUUCAUAACCCUAUUUUUAUAUAUAUUUUUCAUUUUCCAUUCCUCUGUUUUGUCCUGUUUCCUAUGCACUCUACCUUCACCAUACUUCACUGUUCAAACACCAACAAUAAAUGAAUUUCAUCUACAUAUAGAUCUGCAAAAAGGGUCAAUAAUUGCUUAGUUUUGAAGGUUUUGUGAAAGAAAAAAUAUAUUUUUUUUAAAGAAGAAAAAUUCUCUGUUUGAAAAAAAAAAAGCUUUGGUAGAAAAUUAUGGAGUCAGAUCUUCAUCAACAACAACAACCACAAGUAAAUUCUUCAGGUUUAACACGGUUUAAAUCAGCACCAAGUUCAUAUUUCAACAACAUCAUUGACAGAGAAUUCUACGAGCAUGUUUUCAAUAAACCAUCAAGUCCAGAAACAGAGCGAGUUUUUUCAAGGUUUAUUAACAGUUUUGGUUCAGAUGAUGAUUUACUAGCUCAGAAAAUCUCAGUAGAUUCAACAGUGAAAGAAGAAGAAGAGGUAAAUAUUAAUCAACAGCAACAACAACAAGAUCAGGGUUUGGCUUCAAUCAACAAUGAACAUGUGGUUCAUCAGCAGAGUAAUUAUAACAACUCUGUUCCUUCUUCUCAUGGUUUUUAUCAAAGUUCUAUGAUGCCACCUUUGCCAAAUCAGAAUGUUUCUUCUGGUUUGGAUGGAAGUUUUUCAAUGGGAGUUAAUAGGUUGCAGCAGGUGAAGAAUCAUGGUGGAAACAAUUCAAAUCUUAUUAGACAUAGUAGUUCACCAGCUGGAUUAUUUUCUCAAAUUAACAUUGAAAAUGGUAUGUUACAUAUCUUCCAUGUGCUUUCUUUUCUGCGCAGUUUUGGUCCCUCUAUUUUAACUUACACGAAUCUGAAAUUUUAGUAUCAUUUUACAAGUGUGUCUAGAUUUUUAUUUUGUACUACGUGUUAUAUUUAUUAAUGACGCGUAACUACAUUUGAUUAUGUGACAUUACUGAUUUCAAUCCGAAACGAUGAAAUUUAGAAGAAUAAGUUUACAUUUGAUCUAUAAAAUUCAAGAAAAUAAGUUGUAAAAGUUUUUCUGGUUCAAAUUAGUAAUUACUUACUAAUAUGUGGACUUGUAAGGUACUGUCAGUGGUAUGUACAAUUUCAAUAAAUUGAUUUCAACCCAGAUUUCCUUGUCCUACUUUAAAGAGAAAAAAAAUAUAAUUUUCCUAGAAAAAUGUUAAAUUUUGAAAUUUUAUUGUCAGGGGUUUUAUGAUGCUAUAUAUAUAUAUAUAUAUUAAAGAUCUCUUUAGGGUAGCAUAUACUUUUUAAUAUUUGCUAUUAUGUGGACAUUAUAUUUUAUACUUUGUACUUGUUGAAACAAGUGGUGAAAAAAAAAACCCUAGUGGGAAUAUUAGUUAUUACUUAUUAGGUUUCAUUUUUGUCUCCAAACUAUUUUUUUUCUUUAACAUAUAGGUUGUUAUAGUGAUGUUAUGCAAGUUUAAUUGGCAGGUUAUGUUAGUAUGAGAGGAAUGGGAACUUUAGGAGCUGUUAAUAACUCAAUGAAAGAAGCAAAGUUUUCUACUGCAAGGAGUUUGAAAAAUCAAUCAAACUAUUCAUCAGGGUUAAUGUCAACAAUAGAUGAAGUUGGUGACAAAGACAAUAGAGAAAAUAAUCUAGAAAAUGAGGCUUUUGGUGAAAGUCAUGGUAACGAAUAUAUGGAUUAUCCGGUUGAUACUUGGGAUGAUUCUGAAAUGAUGUCUGAAAAUGUUGGUGGUUUAAAAAGAUUUAGAGAUAAUGAUUCAAAACAACAAUUUUCUGGUUUAAAUGUUCAGGUAGAAUACUAUAUGGCAUUGGUUAAUUUGAUUUUAUGUGUAGUUUCUUAAUUGAAUUUCAUUUGACAUAUUUUGUUAUGGUUGAUUAGAAUGAAACAGGAGGAGGACAUUCUAAUUCUCCUUUGGCUCAUCAAUUGAGUAUGCCAAAUACUUCAUCUGAAAUGGCAGCUAUGGAGAAGUUUCUGCAUUUCUCAGAUUCUGUUCCGAUGAAAAUUCGCGCCAAGCGAGGUUGUGCCACUCACCCAAGAAGCAUUGCAGAAAGGGUAUGGAUUAUUGAUUUACAAUUUUUUUUUGUGUGUUAACUCUUCGAUUCUUAGUAGGUAAGUAAAGUCCGAUCGAUGAUUGUUUCUGGCAGAAUUCAAACUUGGGACAAUUCAUCCACGCUUAUUAACAACUGAGCAAACCACUUGGUUAUUUAUAUUUCUUAAUUGACAAAAUUUCCCUACAUUACUUUUCUUUUGUUAGGAAAUCAUAAACCAAAUGUACAUAUUUAGUUAUUGUAUAGUACUACUAAGACAUGUUUUUUGGGGCCAUUAUAUGUACAAUGAGGUUCAUUUUAUUUGAGUAUACUAACUAUAUAAAUUAAUACUCUUAACACAUCAUUAAAUUGACUUCAGGUUAGAAGGACUAAAAUUAGUGAGCGUAUGAGGAAGCUACAAGAUCUGGUCCCAAACAUGGAUAAGGUACUAUGCUUCAUGAUUGGUUUUAACAUUUGUAAAGUCUCAAACCAUACAUUAAUUUAUGUGAAUGCUUUAAGAUACAACGUUGUUUCUCUCCUUUUUUUGAAGCAAACAAACACAGCAGAUAUGUUGGACUUGGCUGUGGAUUACAUCAAAGACCUUCAAAAGCAAGCUCAGGUAAUAUCAUAUAUAUUUUCUUAUCUUUUUUUAUUAUUGUUAUGAAUUAUUACCUAACCAAUUUUCUUCCCAUACAUGCAUGUAUCUAUAUAUACACUUGUAUAGAAGCUUCAAGAUUGUCAAGCAAAGUGUACGUGCCCACACAAGCAGCAGCAACAACAAUAACGGCAAAGAGUGAAUUAAUUAAUUAGUCCAAUGUACAGAUUUGUAAUAAUUUGGUAUCACCAAGUUUAAAAAAUCUAGCUAGAUUAGCUUUUAUUUGUUAAUGCACUUAAUUCCAAAGAUAAAUUCAUUCAGCCCUUGAUGUACAUAAUGAAGAUAAAUUUGUAGGGUUGCACUUGUUCAACAAUUAUGAGAGAACUAGCUGGGGAAGAAAAGUGGGUUAUUAUAAAUUAAGUUGAGUGUAAUUGAGGGUGUACAAAAAGUCCAUGUGGUAAGUAGAUGCAAUUUAAGCAUUUAUUAGGACCCAUAUUUGGUGAUGAAAUCUAUUGGUAUUGCCGUAUAAUAACAAAUGUGUACGUUUACGUUUCACAUUGAAUGGUUGGUUGGUUGGCAUUGGAUUAUAACAUGGUGGGCGCCGAGACACCGACACAUUUUUGUUGGUUAUAUGAUGUCAGGUUUACCGUUUACAUACAUUACUCUUUUCAUUUUGUUUCUUCAAUGUUGGUGUGUUUUGGUAAACCCAACUGGAACCGGUGGUUCUCAUUUGCAUUUUGGUGUUAGUCAUCUAAAGUUGAAAGAAUCUUCUUUACUUCAUAUACAUUUUGAAAAGUGUUUCAACACUUUUUUAGUUAUUCACUGGAUGCUAAUAACAUUCACUUUUAAACACUAUAUCUAACACUCACUUUUUUAUUGGAAGUAAGCAUUUUCCUUAUACAAAGUCGAUGUGAGGGUAUGAUGUAAUAUGAGUUAAGAGACAGUUUUGUUUGCAAAUGUAUCUCUUCAUUGUUGUUAUGAAGAUUUGUUAUGGGGAAACAUACUACUACUUUGAUUAAUUGGUUAGGGAUGACAUAAUGAGUUGAACAUGUUGAAUUGAGCUGUUCAACUACCCCCUAUAUUUUUUUGUUUCUGUGAAGUAUAGAUUAAGAUUUUCAACCCAUCUUGAUCCGUCAUACAUAACUUUUAAAAAUGCGGAUCGUGGACGGAUUGGUUCGUGGGUUAAGUUUUUAUUUUUGAUUUAACUACAUAUCAACUUGCCUAACAAUUAAGGUAUGUUACUUGCUUUUAUUAUUGGCAGGUCGAUUUACCGACCUGCCACAUGUUGAUGUUGAAUUUUCAACCUAUUUUUCUUAUUUUACAUGUCUUAGCUCUGCCAAAUUUUGGGCGGAUUGGUGGCGGUAAUGGGGUUUGGCGGAGUGAGUAAAUCAUUUUUUUUAACCUUAGUUAGAUGGAAAAAAAAAAAACUAGUUUUUCUUCCUUAUUAUUGAAAAGUGAUGUAGAUGGAGAAGAGGUAAUGGUGAUUACAUGUGAAAACAAACAAAGAAAUGUAGUUAUUAUAAAUUGAGUUUCUUUUCUUAAAAGAUAAGUUUGAUCAGAAAUAAUGAAAUGUAAACUUUUGUAUUUUUUUUUUGGUUACAAAAUGUAAACUUUUGUAUUAAUUUAAAACUUCCCACAUAAAUUUAUUACAAAUUCUUUUUGGAAUUAGUAAAUGUAUUGAAAUACUAAUUCAUUUCAAUUCGAUUUUAGCUAGGAGUGAUUUUAUUAACUCAAAUUAUGUCAAAAAUAAAUUUUGUAAACAUUCACCGCCCAAAUAAAUAUUAUUCCUUGAAACACACUAUCAUUUCAAUUGUCGUGAUAAACAUGAAUAUGGAAAUAGAAAUAAUUUCAUUGGGUCCAGAAGUCCUAGCUCAACUGACAAAUGUCGAAAUUUUAAGGCCGGAUGUCGUGACCUGAGUUCGAACCCAGAACCUCACAAUUGUGUGUGAGUCUUAAUUUCAGUGGACUACCACUUCAUCUAAGACAAAAAAAAAAAAAAAAAAAAAUUGUUGGGUAUCUUUGGAUACCCUAGAGGGGAAAAUGCAUUGCAUUUUGGGCUGUUUUUGAGAGUUGAGGAUUUUAUACUGUUGUGCCUCUUUUUAUUUGUUUUUUUGUCAAUAGAGUUAAUAUGCUUUAAAGUGAAAAAGUUAGGAUAUAUAUGGCACAACUAGAAGCAGUGGACAAGAGUGUCACCAUAAACAUAUCUCUAUUGGGCCAAAAUGUGGGGUCCAAAUCUAAAUCCAUUGAAGUGAAGGCCAUGUCACAUAUGAUGUCAGAUCACUAAAGUUAGAGUAAAGUUAUUGGUGUGGGAUUAUUGUGGAAGGUAGAUGUAGAUGCAGUGCAACAAUGCCAUUAUUUGAAGUAAUUCACAGAAAAAUAAAAAAGGGGGCAGUAUUAUUAUUGUAUUAGAGUCACAUAUACAACAAGGUGGAAAGUACAUAACAAUAAUAAAAAUGAAAUUUGUGUUCAAUCAAGUGAGCCUCGUGGAGACACGCAGGAGCUUGAACUUUUAUGCUAGGGGGGCCUUUCUAGUCAUGGCCUAUAUAAAAACUAAAAGUGUGAAGUUCUUGGCAUCUACUAUUAUUAACAGAAUCAAUCUUUUUUAGAGCUAUGGUUUCAUAUGGGACUGCAAUUAACUUGUAAAGUUGUAAUGUAUAUGGUCACUUAUAGGGGAUGAAUACAACUUUUGAAAGCAUGCUCACUUGGAUUGCGUGCAUGUUAAGAAUCACAAUGAAUUUUACAAAAUCACGAUGGCACUCUGAUUUUAUCAAACUCGAAGUAAAGUCAAAUAUAAAGUAUGUGAGAAAAGGGAAAUAGUGAUUAGCAAUAAAAAUAAGUUUUUGUUCUUUUUAUUUGGGUGAUAAAUGUGUUUACUAUCCUCCCACAACUAUAUUUGUAGAUUAGGAUAAACAAACAAACUAAACACUUAUACAUUAAACGUUCAAGGGAAUAGGAAAAUGUUACAUGAACACCCAAUUUAUUCAUACAUUCCAUUGUACAUCCCGCGCAUUAGGGAUAUUUUGGCAAAUUCAUCUCACAACUACACUUUCUUUUCUAUUUGUGUGGGGUCUAGGUUGCAAGAUGUCAGAAUUUUGUGUGGGUGUAAGGGGUGUAUUGCCACAUGGAGGUGUACAUGUAUCAUUACUUAAGGGAAUAUCAUGAUGAUUGAUGACUGUGGUGGUAGAGUUGAAGAGUCGAGUGAUUAGGAAGUUAAUGAUUCGAUCACGGUUUCAGCAUUAAAACUAAUAUAUGGUAUAAUUUGAAAAAAAUUAUAAACAUUUAUGAGGAAUGCUAACAGGGCCGGACCUUGGGGUGUGUAAACCGCUCAAUGGAGCCGAGCCUCCUCAAUGUAUGAGCAUAAAAAAAAACUUUAGGCUUAAUACAUCGUUUGGUCCCUUAACUUAUUUUUGAUUUUCAUUUUGGUCCUCUAACUACAAAAUGUCUCAAUUUGGUCCCAUAAAUUUUCUGCUGUUUACUACUUUGGUCCUUUCCGUUAGUAUUUUGCAAAAUCUGUUAACUCUUUUCCACAUGUCAGUUAAGAUUCUUGAUCAACGGUUGGAUUUAAAAAGCACACAUGACAUAAUGUGGACUCCCAACAUAUGAUCAUUCUUAUUAUUAUUAUUAUUAUUAUUAUUAUUUCAUUACCAAAAAAAAAUUCCUUCAAAAAAAAAAACACAACGAUUUCCUCUUUUCUUCUUCUCCAUACGCGCAUCAAUUUCUCCCUCUUGAACCACCAUUACUCCACCGUCUGACAUCGUUUUACCACACCACCACCACCAUUGAACUACUCUCAUCUUCCUCUUCAAAAAACCACAAACAUAUUAUUAGAUUGGUAAAAUUUUAAAAACCCUAAGCAUCACCUUCUCUCUUACUUUCCGGCCACCACAAAUCUCCAUUUGAAAAACUAAUAUGAUUUUCUUCUUCCCCAUAAUGUCUGCAACAAAAUCCCUAAAUUUAUUUUGGGAUCGAAAAACUUUCACCGACGACCACCGCGUCGGAAACUACUACGACCCCGCCGGCGACCACCGCUUAAUUUCUGCAAAAACUUAUGAACCAUGGAAAAACAACACAGUGCUGCAACCACGCCGGAAAUCAUCUACGCAACACAACACAGUGCUGUAGAAAUUGUUAGGGGAUGUUCAAUGAAAAAAUCACUUAAAUUGUUAGGGGAGUAGUUUUCAUUUUGCCAUUCUCAUUUAUUUUGUGAGAACCUGUGCAUCUGAUAGGAGGAAGCCACUUCUUUGUAAUUAUUUUUAUGAUUUGGAUCUUGGACAUUGCUUUAUUCAUUCACACUGCUAAAGCUACUUGAUUUAAUGAGUAGUAAUUGUGUGAUAUUUUUUGCAGUUUGCGUAAGUUGUUUGUAUUACUAAUUGGUUUCAGUACUGUGUUGGAAGAACAAGAAAGAGAAUUAUUAAACCAUGGAAGAAUAAGAAUGAGAAGAAAAUAUAUGAGAAGAAGAUGAAGAUGGAGUUUUGUAUUUUUUCUAUUUCUGGGUUUUUAUUUCUAGUUUUUCAUCUUUUAUUGUUAUUGCUGAUUGUAGAAUUUAUUGUUGUUGAAAUUGGAAUUGGAAUGUUUGUGGUUGUUGAUGGUAAUGAAGAAGUUGUUGUUGAUGGUGAUGAAUAAAUUGUAGAUGGGGAUGAAGAAAUUGUUAGUUGUUCUGUUUAUGGAACUAGAUUCAUAAAGAAAGAAAGUUGUUGAACUAUUGUUUUUUGUUUUGGGUAUGAAGUUGGAUGAUGAAGAGGGAAGAAGAUGACAAUAAAAAUGAGAAAUUCUUGUGUAGGAACGAACCUAAC
rnacentral:lncRNA from 1 species